rnacentral:lncRNA from 1 species
AUUCUCUAAAGCUCUCAGUCAGGGGUGUUCCUCGGUUUCGGAUGAAAUCGGGGCGGGUUGACAAUACUUCACACGCCUUGGGCGCGUUGUUGCAGUCUGUUAGAUUUGAAGAACUGCCGUGUUUCAUUCCUGAGGAAUUUUGUCUUUGCUCGGUGUAGUGCCUGUCCGUUGAGCCACACUUCUCAGUAAUAAUUCAAGCUCUGAAAAUUCCGAACUUGAUUCAGCAUUCGUCUCUUCCGUUUCCCCCCAAAUUUUAAACUUGCUGUGGUGGUCUACUUUCCUUGGUUGAUGCCUGAAUUGGGUCCUCGAUUGGGCUAUAAUAUAUACAUCUGGAACUGCAAUGAACGGCUGACUGGUUGGCCACGUUGAAAAGCGUAGUGCUAGUGUGCGGCAGAUCGGCUGGCCACGUGGCAGAAGCGGAGAUUUACGUUUGUGCCACUUAUCCCCAUGAGAAUCGUCUCUUAUCUCCUCUCGUUUCCCUCGCGACGAAACAUGCAUCGGCGUCUACGUGCGUGGGGUAUUAGAUAGUGUCUCGCUCGAGAUCACAUCCUCACGGCCGCAGCGUCAACAAUGUCACCGUCGUCGUCGCUCUACUCCGGCCGUCUCCUCUCCUCCCGCCCGGCGUCCAAGGGGCUCGUACGUCGUCUCCUCAAUCACGAUGGGAGCAGGUGGGUCAGGCCGUCGUGCUCCCUGUCUAUGAACGGCUGCGCGGCCGGCGUGGGCGCGGUGACCAUGCACGAGACGCGGGUCCUGCCGGCCGCGUCGGCGCCGCAGGAGGCCGUCGGGCAGCUCAGGGCCGCCGUCGCCGCGCUCAACGCCGACCCGCCGGUGUCCUCCUCCGGCAUCAUCCGCAUCGAGGUAGCAAAAGCACAUGGUCUUCAAUGGCGAACUGCGUUUGAUCGUAUUCGUAUCUGGAUAAAAUGGGACGCGCGCGCACGCAGGUGCCGAUUCGGCAGCGAGGGGACGCCAUCGAGUGGCUGCACGCGCAGAGGCAGAGCUCCCUGCCCCGCUGCUUCUUCUCCGCCCGGGCGCCGCUGCCGGACACUCCGGCCCUCGCCGUGGGCAUCAGCAGCAACGGCAACGGCAGCCACAAGGAGCAGUGGGAGCAGCCGGUAAGCGUCGCCGGCGUGGGGUCGGCGGUCUUCUUCCGCGGCACGGACCCCUUCUCCCUCCGCGACUGGCGAGCCAUCAAGAGGUACGCAAAAACUCACUACCUACUCGAUCAGCUACUAUGUUUUUUCUGAAUUGGAUGAACUAUGAUAAAGCUUGGCUUAGAGUGCGUUUACGACGCUGUUCCUCCUCUUCUUUGUCCGUGAAGAUUUCUUUCAAGGGACUGCCCGCUGAUCCGCGCCUACGGCGCCAUCCGUUUCGACGCGUCGAGCGACGCCUCGGUCGAAUGGGAAGACUACGGCGCAUUCUACUUCGUCGUUCCACAAGUAAGUCGAUCCGCAACUGGUGACAGUUUCAUUCUGCAUGAUGAAUGCAAUGUGCAUGUGUACUGCCUUAUUUCAAGUGUGUGUGAUGUAAAAAUGUACUGCAUUGCAGGUUGAGUUCAGCGAGCUCGAGGAGGGCUCGGUUCUCGCGACGACGAUUGCGUGGGACGACUCCCUUUCUUGGACAUGGCAGAGCGCUGUGGAGGAGCUUCAAUCGACAUUGCACGAGGCAUGGCAUUUUGUUUCCCUGCAUUCUCAUGUGGAAGAUAGUAAGUUAGCAACCGCUAAUUUGAACUUGUAUGCAGAUAUCACCCUGUUCAGUUAAGGUGAACAGGUCCACCCUGCAAACCGCCAUCGUAAAUCUCAAUCAUGUCCCCACCAAGGCGUCCUGGGAUCUUGCUGUUACUCAAGCUCUUCGGAUGAUCAAAGGGAGCCAGACGGAAUUAGUCAAGGUAAACCAUUCAUCGCGUCACUGUCUGCCAAAACAAAAACUAGACGAGUAAUUUUCUUUACCUGUCUUUUUGUGAGUAUAGAGAGGUUUAGUUCAACCAAUCUCUUCCAAUCCUGAUAUUUGUAUGAAUGCUAGAAUUUUUCAGUUAGUUACUAAAAAAACACUUAUUUUCCAUUUUUGUUUUCGACAUAUAUUGAACUUGCCAAUGAACUAUUUCUGCAGGUUGUGCUGGCAAGGUGCAGCAGGUACAUCACUGAUACUUGCAUCGACCCUCUGGAGCUGUUAGCUUGUCUGAAGGUAUGUCGUAUUAUUGUCCUCUCCCUUCAUGAUGUACUCAUAUCAUCUUGUUUACGAGAAGAUCAUUCUGCGACUCUUGUAUGUAUAGGUUGAGGGCCAGAAUGCCUACCAGUUCUGCAUACAGCCACCCGAUGCUCCUGCAUUUGUUGGAAAUAGUGUAUGUCUUCUGCGAUGCACUUUCUUUUCUUCCUGAUAUACCUGACCUUCAGAGUCCUGUUUAGAAACAGGUCUUACUUAUGCCUUGUGCAUUGUUUAUCUCUAUAUUUGCUCUAGCACUGUUAAAUAACUCUCUUCUAACUAUUGCUAAUUUCAUCCAAACAUUCUGAAUAGCCAGAGCAACUAUUUCACCGGAAAUACUUGAACAUUUCCAGCGAGGCUUUAGCCGGUACGCGAGCAAGAGGGAAAACAAGGGCUGAUGAUUUUCAAAUUGGCCAGGAAUUGCUUCUAAGGUUUGUUUCCCCUCUUUGUGCUUGUAAUCAUAAGAUUGACAUAUUUCUGAAAUUUUACGGAGAUAUCGGCACCUUGUACGAAGACCAGACUGGUCAGUAAUGUAAAUAAUUCUUGCAGCAUCAAAGAGGACACUGAAUUUACUAUAGUACGGGAAAGCAUAAAGAAGAAGCUUGAGGCAAGUUAAGUUUCAGAGUCCAAUUUCAGAUAUGAUCCUGGACUAGUUUGCGUUGCUCUUGGUACUCAGCAGUAAUGCUUUUCAGAAAACAAAAUAUGGUGACUGUAAUUUUUGCUGAACCAGUGGAUCUGAUCUAAUCUGCAGAUGAUCUGUGAUGAGGUUGUUGUCAAUCCCAGUAAGGCCCUUCGGAAACUUCCAAGAGUACAACAUUUGUCAGCUCAAUUAGCUGCAAGAUUAAGAAAUGAGGACGACGAGGUAAUCUGUGGUUUGAACAUUCUCUGUCACUUGGACAUGUAGGUAUCAUUUGAAUUUUCUUUUGCCCUGGAUUGUUGGAGACAUCGACUAGUGUUCAUAUAAUAGACUUGAUACUUCGUGCUGGUAUUUGCAGUUUGACAUCCUAAAUGCUCUUCAUCCAAGCCCAGCUGUUUGUGGUUUGCCCACUGAAGAAGCGCGCCAAUUCAUACGAGAUUAUGGUGUGUGCCUGUAUUCUGGCUGAAAUGUUAUCUAUGAACGCAUAUGCACUAUUGUGUUCUGUAUUUAGUACGCAACCUAUUGAUGGUGAUCUCUGAAUGCUAUUUUCUGAUGUUGCUGCAGAAAUUUUCGACCGUGGAAUGUACGCUGGACCUGUUGGUUGGUUUGGUGGAGCUGAAAGUGAGUUUGCUGUUGGAAUUAGAUCAGCACUACUUGGAAAAGUAAAUAAAACACAUGUCAUCAAUAUUUGUGUAAACCUUACCUUCUUAACCUAUCCUAAUUUAGAAGCAUAAGUCACCUAGCUGUCUUGUCCAGGGAUAUAGCACUUUAGUUUAUGCCGGUGCCGGGAUUGUCGAAGGUACAAAUCCAUCUUUUGAAUGGGAUGAGCUUGAUCUCAAAGCAUCUCAGGUAGUCUCUGUCCAAUGUCAUGACUGUUAUUACUGACUUCUAUUUGAAAUGCUAACACGUUAGAUCUUACGACUAUUUUCAGUUUGCAAAGUUGUUGCAGUAUCAAGAACAUCAUAUUUGCUACCAAGAGGCAGGAAACAUGGGGACAUUGAUUUGAACUGUAACUAGUAAGUCAUCAGAGAUUACAAUGCUUAGAAAGAGGUGGGAAAUUACGUUAUCUCAAUUAUAUAGAAUGUCUACAACUUCAGUUUGUAUCUGACAUUGGAAUGCCCGAUGUGUUUAUUUUGAACUCCUUCUACAGGGAAGUUUUGAUUUGGUGGGAAGAUUCCAAAUGGAGUUCAUAUCUGUUUGUGUGCGUGCGUUGUAAACUUCGAAAGAUUUCAGCCUGAUUUGCAUGGCUCUUGAAGAUGCAAUCACAGAAAUAUCGAAAUAUCGAUUCGAGGAGAUGACAGUGAUGAUAGUCGUGGAGCGUACAAAAGAUUAAAUAAAAGCAUAUUAAAUAAUUAUGUACAAUGAUUGUAACAAGUCAGUUUAGUGCAAAGUGUAUAUUACACGAUGAGUUUUUUUAUCCACGCACCCCAGGGAUGGGGAUGGGCAUCGGGAUGGUGUCACGGGUGUGUGGAUCAUAUUAUAGCAAAUCUCAACUGGGUAUUCCCCAUUGUCACUUUGAGUCUAGAUGGACCACAAUCUGAGUACUACUAUUAUUGACUCCCUCGCACGGUCUUCUUGUUCAUCAAAUGGAUGUUAAGAUAACUUUCCUAAAUGGAGAGUCAGAGAAGAAAAUUUACAUGGAACAAAAGAUGGAUUUGUAGUAUCGGGUCAGGAAAGGAAGAUCUGCAAUUUACUGAAAUCUUUGCAUGGCCUAAAACUAGCACAUAAGCAAUGACACCAGAAAUUUAUCAAAACUUUAAAUUUCAUAGACUUUGUUGUCAAUGAAGACAAAAAAUGUGUUUGCUACCGUUAUGGUGGAGGCAAGGGAGUGAUCAUUUGCUUGUACGUUGAUGCAUACUAAUCUUUAGCACCAGGGGAUCUGUGAAGUAGGACCUCGGAAAACAAACCUUUGCAGUUGGAGAGAACAUUUCCUAAAAUCACUCAUUUGAACAUGUAGUUCUCUCACGGAUAUAGUAAGGCGGACUUAUUAUUCUUAAUGUGCUCUAUUACUUGUGUACGCGAAGAUGUUGCCUUACAGGACUGUCUUUGAAAAAACAAACCUUUAUGAGCUAGUUGCCGGUCACACUCUAUGAUAUUAGGUAAUAUCUAGUAAGCUCAUGAAAGGCCAGGAGUACGACUUAUGUUGCUGGUCACACUCUAUUUCAAAUGGAGUACACGUUCACUCACUAACUCGACUUACCACGCCACACAUGGUGCGCACGUCGUGUUUCACGAGUCAAAUUCGAGUUUGAGCUAAGAGCAGUUUUAACAUGCUCCCUCUUACGUCAUCUUUUCACAUGAGAGGUAAGAGUACAUAUUAGAUCUGAGCCGUUGAUCUCAUUAAUUAGUGAUCCGAUUAACUCUUACCUUCUUACCGCACAUGUAAAAAGAAGGGGUAAGAGGGAGCAUGUUAAAUUUUGCCUUGAGCUAAUAUUAUGCACUAUGUUUGAAGAACUAAAAUUUUGCUUGGCAGUGCAUUGCUAAGGAAGCUUCGGGUGUACAUGUCAACACUCAGCUCGUUGUGGGCACAUUUUUUUGCUUUCAGAGAUUUCUUCCGCCAUGUGUUAGUUGCAUCUCCCCAGUCUUCCAUGCAUUGAAGGUCAGAACUACCAAAUCAUCAUAACGGUAAUCUAAUGCAAUAUGACCAAACAACAUAAACUGGUUGGUCUAUUCAACUUGAUAUUCCAACCAUUUUAGAUAUGGAAAGCUAUUUCCAAAUUCUUGAUAAGGAAAGGUAGUACGUAUGUGUACCUUGGCCAUUUGUCCUGUCUAAGAAAGCAUGUAGUUUCAAUGUUGUUCUGUAAUACAUCAUUCCAUGAACAAACAUUACAGUUGUAUUAGGGCAAACUCACUGCCGGUUGCUUGAAAACCCUUGUCAAGACCGAGUUCUAUCACCAUAGGCAACCUCGUAAGCUAGUGGCGGAGCUACAUGCAUUGUUGAGGGGGAGGGGGCCAAUGCCCCCCCACCCUAGGAUAUUUAGUGAAUAAAAAAGUAGAGGCUUAGAUUAAUAAGAUUGUAGUCAUCCUCCCCCCCCCCCCAAAGAUUUAUAUUUUCUCUUUUCCUCCCCCUUGUUUAUCUCCUAGCUUUGCCCCUGACGGAAGCAAUCCAAUUUGGACGAAUGACUGGGAUGCAAGGGAACUUUCUAACGACUUCAUAUUCUUAGCCUUUGCUUUCAGUAGGAUACCUUCAUGUAGCCCACCAAGGACCAAAUACAACUGCCCACAGAGGAAAAAUAUAAACACCUUUGAUAACUGCAUAAAAUAUGGACCCGUUAGAAUAAUAGGACUCGUCAUUGGUACUAAACAAAAAAUACUUCCACAAAAAAGAUUGGAUUUGACCAAGGUGAAGUUACAAUGCAAGCGUGCAAGAGAGAGAGAGAGAGGGAUGGAGAAAACAUAUUAGGCCAUUGAACUAGAGCUCCACUGCGAUGAAAUAACAGAAGAACAUCCGACGAUGAUCAGUCCUUGCCCUAGGCGGUAUAUUUCACGCCUGACUGUCUGUUCACCAUUGCCAUUUCCUUUGGCUUCAACUAUUGAUAUCCGAUUAAGACUAACAUCAUGCCCUUUGCCAAUCUUAUUAACCCUUGUCAAGACCGAGUUCUAUCACCAUAGGCAACCUCUAAGCCAGUGGCGGAGGUACAUGCAUUGUUGAGGGGGAGAGGGCCAAUGCCCCCCCCCCCCCAGGAUAUUUAGUGAAUAAAAAAGUAGAGGCUUAGAUUAAUAANNNNNNNNNNNNNNNNNNNNNNNNNNNNNNNNNNNNNNNNNNNNNNNNNNNNNNNNNNNNNNNNNNNNNNNNNNNNNNNNNNNNNNNNNNNNNUGCCUCCCCCCUUGUUUCUCUCCUAGCUUUGCCCCUGAUGGAAGCAAUCCAAUUUGGAUGAAAGAUUGGGAUGCAAGGGAACUUUCUAACGACAUCAUAUUCUUAGCCUUUGCUUUAAGUAGGAUACUUUCAUGUAGCCCACUAAGGACCAAAUACAACUGCCCACAGAGGAAAAUAUAAACACCUUCGAUAACUGCAUAAAAUAUGGACCCGUUAGAAUAAUAGGACUCGUCAUUGGUACUAAACAAAAAAAAACAUCCACAAAAAAUAUUGGAUUUGACCAAGGUGAAGUUACAAUGCAAGCGUGCAAGAGAGAGGGAGGGAUGGAGAAAACAUAUUAGGCCGUUGAACUAGAGCUCCACUGUGGUGAAAUAACAGAAGAGCAUCCGGCAAAGAUCAAAUCCUUGCCCUAGGCGGUAUAUUUCACGCCAGACUGUCUGUUCACCAUUGCCAUUUGCUUUGGCUUCAACUAUUGAUAUCUGAUUAAGACUAACAUCAUGCCCUUUGCCAAUUUGAAUAUACUCAUUGUAAAUUAUAUUUCCGCGACGCAAUAUGGAAUUAUAACCUGUAAAGUUAAUGUUAAGGCACAAUUUCGUUCAAAAUGACAUGAAUUUAUUAUUUCCAACAGAACAAAUAUUUAAAUUACCAGCAAAUGCAUCCUUGCUUAAGUUUAUGGUUUUAGAGGCUUUCCUUAUACCACCUCUUGUCAAAUGAAAGAUCCGGAUGACCAUAGUGAAUCGUACUCUGCAACCAUUUUGGAUCUUUUAGUACAUUACAUAAACAUACUAUCAAUUCUUCGGUAAAGAUAUACACGGUAUUUAAUAGUACUAUAUGACACCCUAACAUUCAUAAAACGAGAACAACAGAGCGUCGGAAAUUAGUUUGUGCCAUCUAUGAUGAGAAGCAUACUUUCACCUAAUGGGAUCAACGAGGAAUCUAUGUCAAUUGUAACAAAGGUUGUUUCUUAGUAUGACAUGAAUCCAGCAACCGAAAUAUAUUGCAACGGGUUUCCGGAACAACACGCGGGGUAUCAUCUACUCCCUCUGUCCCAUAAUAUAAGAGCGUUUUUUUACACUAGUAUAGUGCCAAAACAUAGUUAAUUAGGGAAGUUGAGCAUGGCCCUAAUGCCAUUAGCAAUGAAGAAAUUAUUUUGGCCAUGGACGAUGCUGAUUCUGGUUUUAUGGCUGCAUUUUAUUCCGUGUGAAUGUGUGAUAUCAAAAAAAGAAGAAGAAGGCAGACAGUAGUUUGAUCUACAUAAAUUCUACACGGGUAAACGUUGGAAUCACAACACGAGAGCAAGAACAGAUCAUUGAGCCAAUUAUUGAGGCCUUAAACUUCACGGACCACACAAUUUUUUCCACGCACUUAUCGCCUUGCUGCCAUCACAAGAUGCUACGGUCCAUUGCUGCAACAGUGUUCCCAAGUUUUAGCCAGGCAACCAGUCCAAUCCCACAGAUAUCGUGCCAAAAACCAAAUCUGAGAAUAGUCAUCUGAAUGAACCGACUAAUGUUGAUUGAUGCGACGAUAAAAACCAAUAAAAAAUAUCAUAAUCAGAAGAAGAAAACAAUCUACUUCAUCAGCAUUAACACCUCGUGCUAUGUCAUCAAUCAACCCGCUUCAUCGAUCCGCCGUCGAGCAGCAGCCAGCGUAUAUAUGUAGCUCGGUUCCUCAGCACCAACUCAUCAGCAAACCCGUGACUGCGAAGAAGAAAAAGAAGAAGAAAGAGUGAGGGAGGUAUCAACUGAAGCUCUUGGAGUGAAAUGGCUACCGCCGGGAAGGUGAUCAAGUGCAAAGGUUGGUUCCUGAACCAUUAAGUUUCCUAUUCAUCUCAGUCUGUGUGAAGAAAUUCCUGGAAUGGGUGGAUGGGAUGAAAUUAACAAGGGAGGGCGUAUAGUUAAUUUGGUUGGUGCUGGCAGCGGCGGUGGCGUGGGAGGCCGGGAAGCCGCUGUCGAUGGAGGAGGUGGAGGUGGCGCCGCCGCAGGCCAUGGAGGUGCGCGUCAAGAUCCUCUACACCGCCCUCUGCCACACCGACGUCUACUUCUGGGAGGCCAAGGUACAUAUCUUAUCCAAAACAUCUCAUAGUGUACCAAUUUUGUGUUUUCCAGAUUACUUUAUCUGGAUGAAUGGAUGAGUUGGUGAUGCGCUGCUUGGAUCUUGGCAGGGCCAAACUCGGCAAAUUUGACCAUUUUGACCUACGGACGAAAUCAAUUCACGGAAUGAACUGAUCGUGAAACUAUUUCACAGCCCUAACCUUUUUGUGUAGCGCCCGCCACGACGGCGCCACACCCUACUGUGCAGCGCCUAGCACGGGGACGUUGCACACCAGUCCACCGUGGCAGCCCCUGGGCCCGCACACAGCAGUGCAACGCCUUCGUGCUAGGCGCCACACAUGUAAUGUGCAGCGCCCAGCCCAUAGGCGCCACACUUGUAAAGUGCAGCGCCUAGCGCGUAGGCGCUGCACUGUGACUUAUCCAGCCACUUGGCUGCCCCCCCUCCCCCACCCCCACACCACACACUCUCCCACUCUCCUCCCCGAGCUUUGCCCCCUCUCCCACUCUCUCCCCCUCUCAAAUCCUCUCCCAAAUCUUGCAAAUUUGAAGAAUUUGUCCGUGGAUUUCGAAGUCAAACCCUCCCUCAAGGUAAUAUUCUCCGAUCCCCUUGUUUUGAUUCAAGUAAAGUUCCCAUUGCUCAUUUGUUGCUAGUUUGGGGAAACCCUAGUUUUGUUUGGAUCUAGAGAUUUGCAUGGAAAUGUGAGAUGUUUGUUUACCAAUUUCUAUGGUUAGGCUUUGUUAGUAUGCUAGGGUUAUUCUUAUGGGUGUUCUUAUGUUGGUGCUAGGGUUAGGUUUAGGGCUAGGGUUAUGGUUAUGGUUAUGGUUAUGGUUAUGGUUGUUGUUUGAUAUAUAUAUUAGGGUUUCUAUUCCGUGUUAAUUCUUGUAUUAGUACUCAUGGAAGCAAUGUUACCUUGUGUUAUUGGAAUGCUUAUAGGGAUGGGAAGAACAUGUGUGUUUGUUCAUCAUGGGGACAAGGACGCCUUUUUGAAAGGCAAUGUAGAACCGGACCCGGAUGAGGUUGACAUGGUGUUUGAUAGUAGUCCUAGCUAUGCGGAGCUCUUGCAACAAGUUAGGGAAGAUUUGAAUUGGACGGACCCUAGUGAUAUCAUAGAGUUGGAGGGAAGGCAUAAUGUUGGUUUUGGAAUGCACAUCCGUUGGAAGACAAUGCGUGUCAACUCGGAGCAACGUUGGGUUGCAUACAAGGAGACGGUGGCCGAAUCACUAGACAAGGCUCUUGAGUUAUUUGCAACGAAGAAGGUUGGUUCAAGUUUGCAUUUGGACUUGAACCGGAACCCCUCCCCUUUGGUUGCUAGUAGCCCCACACCCUUGAAGCGAGAUGAACUUGUUGAACCUCUUUUGACCCAAGAAGUGAGGCCAACAUGAGCCCGUUUACAAACAACCAAGAUGAAGCUUUGCAAGAGGACAAUGAUGAGUAUGCGGACGAUGACAAUGAAGUUGAUCUCCAUGACAACAAUGUGGGUGAUCUCGACAAAUAUCACUUGCAAGAGACAAUGGAUCCUUCCAUCCCUUUUUCCCGUGCAUAUGCAUUGGACUCGGAUGACGAUGGUCCCGAUGAACAAGUGGAUGCGGAGGGGUUCACGGUGAAGGAGGCCGAAGCUUUCGAGAAGGUAUUUGGUCGGGAUCAUCGGACUACAUUGUUCAAGGAUGUUAGUCUCGCGGAUGAAGCCGUGGUAGAUGGUGGCAAUGUGUACCUCUUGGGGUUAGGCCAAGCUCUCAUCGUGAUUUGGGAGACGACAAGAACCGCAUUGCUAAAGGUUCUAAGUUUGACACCUUCUUAUGCAAUGUCGAGUUACGAUGGAAGCAUGAUAAUAACUUAUGCAAUGUCAAUUCACCUGCUCAGGCGUGAUCGCGUCCAUCUCGCUCCUGUACAGCUUGUACAUGACCGAGGGAUCAUCCGUCAUCUCAUUUAACACAUCCCACUUGUAAGCCCAAGUGGGGAGCCGUAGUGGAUCGUCUUUCUCGUCCCAAUCCUCGAACUUCACGGUCUUCGGUCGUCCAACCGGCAAACGCUCCCAGCUCCAUAUGGAAAGUGCGAGCAAACAACCACCAAUACCUCCAGAUAGCCUACAACAGGCUUCGUCCAACUGCACAUAAAAGAGAACAUGGUUGAAUUAACAGCAACAUCGCAUUCAUAAUGUACCAAUGAAUUAAAACAGAAACAACUUCAUACCUGUCUAUACAAGUAAGCCAGUGUCGCCGAACCCCAACUCCAUUUGCUAUCGAAGACGGUCAACGCCUUGAGCCACAUCCAUGGAGCAUUCUUGCCUGUGCCAUCAGCAAACAUACUCCUGGAUAUCACGUACCACAUGUAGACACGAGCAUAUGUCUUCACCGUGUCCUCAUUAGCAUCCUCAGGGCAAUUACUGAAGUUCGAUACAAUCCACGUGAAAGUAGCACCGGCUGCGACUCUUUCCUUCUUCUUGCCUUCUACUUCUGGUUCGCGCGGCUCCGGAGGAACCAUACCGAUAAGGGCAAGCAUUUGCUCGCGCCACCCAUCAGAAUCGGUGCUCAUACAUAGAGGAUUCCCAUCGAUAGGAAAACCGGUGAUCAUAGCUAUAUCCUGGAGCGUCACGGUCAUCUCCCCGGUCCGAAGAUGGAAAGUGUGUGUCUCCGGCCUCCAAUGAUCAAUAAGCGCGGUGAGUGCUGGAGGAUUGUUGGGUGGCGUCGACCUGCUGACCAACUGAAUGAAAGAGAGAAGUCUUGUCUCCCUAACAUACGGGGUGUACCGCUCAUCAUAGCGCAUCCACCCAAGGUUGACCCCGUGAGCCCGAAGCUUCAGAGGUGCAAGCUCCUACAAGCAAACAAACAAAUCAUUACAUAUGGGGGGUAUGUGUUUGAAAAAAAACACGAAAUUCAUAACACCGACAACUUUCAUUAUUACCUGCUGCUUCACCGACAUAGCGUACGACCGGUGUUGUAGAUCCCAAUGAUCAUUGAGAAGCCAAACCAUCCUAGCAAUUUGCAAGAAAGCUUUCUUGUCAACACGAUUAUCUUUUGAAUACAAAAAAACUAAAGUAGGCCUACUAGAUGCAACCAUACCAAUCUAUGUAUCCAACCAUAUCAAAUCAAACAUAACUAAUAAAAAAGGGUUCCACAAAUAACUAGGCCUACUUCAUACAAAUAACUUUUCCAUAAACUAUGCCUACUUCAUAAAAAUAACUCUUCCAUAAACUAAACUAGGGUUCCACAAAUCAAACAAACAAGGGUUCCCCAAAUCAAUCAAACAAGUCAAUACAUGCAAAGUUCUAAUACAUGCAAGAUUCAAAUCUAAUCUAAUCAAACAAGGAUUCCCCAAAUCUUCAAAAUAUCAUAUUUUCUAUGGAUAGAAAGAAGGGGAUCGGAAGAGAGUACCUUCUAGGAUGGAUUGGUGAAGAAAUGCACGGACCAAAUCGUCGGAUCUGAAGGAUUUGGGAGAGGGGAUUGAGAGGGGGAGAGGAGGAACCUGCCGCGCCGCUGCUUCUGUUACUUCAAAACCGAACGAAUGGGUGGGGUGGGGGAGGGGGAGCGGGCGGCUAGCGUCUAAGUCACCGUGCAGCGCCUACGGGCUGGGCGCUGCACAUUACAUGUGUGGCGCCUAGCACGGAGGCAUUGCACUGCUGGGUGCGGGUCCAGGGGCUGUCACGGUGGACUGGUGUGCAACGCCCCCGUGCUAGGCGCUGCACAGUAGGGUGUGGCGCCGUCGUGGCGGGCGCUACACAAAAAGGUUAGGACUGUGAAAUAGUUUCACGGUCAGUUCAUUCCGUGAAUUGAUUUCGUCCGUAGGUCAAAAUGGUCAAAUUUGCCACCAAACUCCGGUUUUCCUUAGGAUCUUGGGCCAUGAAGCUGGAGGGUAUCCAUACUCACCUUUUGCCUCUCUCUUAGCCGCCCCCCCCCUCUCUUUCCCCUGUUUUAAGUUUUAAUAAUUGUUAAUCACUUCAUGGAAUCUAGCUUUGAAUCCUCACCUGAAAUAUGGUUUUAUUGGUGCAAUUAUAGUCAUCCUGAAUCCUACUAGUAUUUACCCCGAAAAUAAUAAUAAAAAGAAUCCUACUAGUAUUUGUCUGUACUUUUUUUAUUAGUACUCCCUCCAUUCCGAUUUACUCGUCGUGAUUUUAGUUUAAGAGGCAGUACUUUGCUGAAGUAACAUGUUUGUUCCCUCACAGCAUUGUGGAGAGUGUCGGUGAGGGCGUGACGGAGCUGGUGCCGGGCGACCAUGUCCUCCCGGUGUUCACCGGAGAGUGCAAGGAGUGUGCCCACUGCAUGUCAGAGGAGAGCAACCUCUGUGACCUCCUCAGGAUAAAUGUCGACUGUGGCGUGAUGAUCGGCGACGGGCAGUCCCGCUUCAGCAUCGACGGGAAACCCAUCUUCCACUUCGUCGGGACGUCCACCUUCAGUGAGUACACCGUGAUCCAUGUCGGGUGCCUUGCCAAGAUCGACCCCGAGGCGCCCCUCGACAAAGUCUGCCUCCUUAGCUGUGGUAUCUCAACCGGUAAGAGUCUAUAUGUACUGAGCCGCCGACGAGUUCAACAUGUUUGGGACGCCUCGGCGAAUUGCUGAGAUUUCAUGUUUCCAAUUCAGGGCUUGGUGCGACCCUCAACGUCGCAAAGCCCAAGAAGGGCAUGACAGUGGCGGUUUUCGGUCUUGGAGCUGUAGGCCUCGCUGUAAGUGUUCCUCCACCAGAUAUUCUUUCAGGUCGAUCGAUGAGAAUUGUUCUAUGACCAUGACUAAUUACAGGCCAUGGAAGGGGCCAGGAUGUCCGGCGCAUCGAGGAUUAUCGGCGUGGACUUGAACCCUGCAAAACACCAACAAGGUACGCAUGAUAAUCUGCCGCUGCCAUGCCAUCGAUCUUCAGGAAGAAAAUUAAAACAAUCCAUCCAUCUUGGCAAAAUGUAUAUUUGUUAGCACCGGAGCAGACUGACUGAGCCUUGCAACCCCAUGCAUGUCCAUUGCUUUUCAGCUAAGAAAUUUGGCUGCACCGACUUUGUGAACCCCAAGGACCACGCCAAGCCAGUGCAAGAGGUACUUGUUCAUGACAUACGCGCACAAGAAGCUUGUGUCAAAUGAAAUGCUGAUGGUCCAAAAAUACGCCGCAGGUGAUCGUGGAGAUGACCGACGGCGGGGUCGACCGGGCCGUGGAGUGCACGGGCAACGCCGACGCCAUGAUCUCCGCCUUCGAAUGCGUGCACGAUGUACAUAUGAUGAUCACUUGCUCCUUCUUCUGCUGCUUGAAACUGAAUCCUGACACUAACACUAUGGCCUGAUGGACGGGAGCAGGGGUGGGGCGUGGCGGUGCUGGUGGGGGUGGCGCACAAGGAGGCGGUGUUCAAGACGCACCCCAUGAACUUCCUCAACGAGAGGACGCUGAGGGGCACCUUCUUCGGCAACUACAAGCCGCGCACCGGCCUCCCCGGGGUCGUGGACAUGUACAUGAGGAAGGAGCUGGAGCUGGACAAGUUCAUCACCCACAGCGUGCCCUUCUCGCAGAUCAACACGGCCUUCGACCUCAUGCUCAAGGGGGAAGGCCUGCGCUGCGUCAUCAGGAUGGAGGAGUAGAGGUAGAGCCCCUGGCUCUUCUUCAUCCCUCGCUGCUAUUGGACUACAACACACAUGUAUCAGCUUCUUUGCUACUUUUUUUUUGAAGUCAUGCCACUUAUAGGACUCCGAUUCAUUAAAUAAGCAGAAGAGGGUUGCUCGAUUAAUUUGCGAAAACUCGGCGAAAACCAUCACAACAUGCCCACAAAAGGGCACACCUGUUCAACCUCACUACCCACAAGACCCGCACUGUCGAGGACACGUACGCCUUUCUCUUACCGCCAGAAAGAAACCGCAUCGAAUCGCCAUCCUCCGACAACAAGAACUGCUUACUUCCUCCGUCCCAUAAUAUAAGAUGUUAAGAACAAAUUUGCAUCCUACAACAAAGACUGCUUGUUGCCUACUUCCUCCGUCCCAUAAUAUAAAAUGUUAAGAACAAAUUUGCAUCCUACAACAAGGACUGCUUGUUGCCUACUUCCUCCGUCCCAUAAUAUAAGAUGUUAAGAACAAAUUUGGAUAUAAGAUUCAGUUGGAUAUUUAUGCACCAUGCAGGAGAAGUGAGAACGAAUUUUGAUACAAGAUCCAGUUGGACAUUUACGUAACCAAUUGAUUUAUUUCUACAUCGUUUGCCUACAUCUGGGUUUUCCAUUUUUUGUUUUUAUGCAACCCCCCUCUCCCUGUCUACUUAUUCGAAAUAUCAGUGAUUUGUUUCUCAUCACAGCAGAUGAUCAGAUUUAAUCUACACCCCACCCUUUGACUGGAAGAAGCGUGCGUGAAACAGUGUUACAGAACCUGGACAGCUGAUACUAUUCAACUAAUUUCAUAAUCCAUAACUGCUCAGUAUUUACAAACUAUUGCCUGGUUGAGUACAGUCAGAUCCAAGCAAAUUUUACAAGUUAAUCUCAUGAGCUGAAAUUGACAGGAUCCAGGGACAUAACAUGUAUCCAAAUACAGACUUUGUGGUUCACUCUAUCAACGGUCUCCGAAUUUUGAUCAGGCAAAGAACUCGACCAUGUUGUUAGUCCAAGACUGUCAUUUUGAAGGGGUGGCACCUUGUCUUGAUGAAGAAUCCGGAUCAAGCUGGGCAUAAGAGGGAGACGUUUCCGGCUCCAGUAGGAUUUGCCUGAGAUGCUUGUCCUCGAGAUGUUCCUAGAAACAAUUAAAACAUGGAACGAUCAGCCAUUAGAUAAGCAAGAAACACGCAACAUUAAAUCACAAAAUUUAAACCUAAAUGACUGAAAUGCAAGAUACGACAGAUUGCUUAUGUCGUAGUGAAGAAAACAGGGUACUGGUGUAUGUUGAACACUCAUCGUGCGAUACAACAGUGCUUUGUGAAUGAAACCACUUUGUUGAACUCAAUUCCUGAACAAUCAUUCUUGUAACACACAGAUACUAUAUGGCAACAUGGACAACUGAAGAGGUAAAUAACACAGAUACAGACCGAAUUUUGACAAAGUGAGAACUUUCCCUAUAAAUAAACUAAUUAAAUACAUUGGGGUGGUAAGAAGUUUUUGUUCCUUGCAGUAACAGCAAAUUACUGCAAACAAAAAGCACAAGGCUGUGAACCAUCGAUCUGGUACGAUUUGAUAUAACCACCAGUUUUACAGAACACACAUCAUUGCUAUUUACACUAUAUAAGUCAUGGAGAACAAUUGACUUGCAACUGUGCAAGUGAAAAAAAAAGACAGUCCGUUCAGCAAUAGAAAUUGACAACAGUGAGUUUUCCUAAGAAAUAGCAGAUCUUUUGCUGGGUUGGCAGUCAGUAAGCAACCAGAAUGCCUACCAACCAUUCCCAAAUUCUCACCAGCAUCGCACCAGUUAUGACCAAUACUUGCCUAGAAAACAACCUAACAGCAGCCAAUAAGCAAAAUAAGAACACCUGUAACUGCAAAUGGUUUUAACAAGAUCCGUUUUUGGUGUAGCCUGGGAUGUAAGCAUAGAAGGGUUUGCUGGUUACUUUGGCCCCUUUUAUCCACCAAAAAAAAUUCAUUGUUGGUUAACUCUCUACAGACUGAGCUCCCCUGCGAUAUCAAUUAACUGCUUUGCCAUGCAAAUGCCGGAACUAGCACAGUCUUGCAAGCUCAAUCGCUCCGGCUAUUCAAACAGGAUACAAGGUUAAUAAUCUCUGUUUUUAGGCAAUAACCUUUUUGGGUAGAAAGAGCGUCCUUGUUAACCUACAUUGCUUGUCCACAUAAGUGCUCUGAACUGACAUUGCACACAAUAGCCGCCGGAUCCCACAUUUGCAACAUGAGGACCGCAGCGCAAUCCAAAUCAAGAUCAUAAGCAACAUAACACCUGACUGCCAUAAGCCCCCCCUACUAUGAUGAUUCUCACAUUCUCCCCAGAAUACCCACCUUAAGCCAACGCAGUUAAAAAAGCGACAUAACCGAGACAGUCCCUCCUCAAAUAUCUUCCUAAACAAGAACUCCAAAUCUUACAUGAAAUUUAUGCCUCCCAGUCCCAGGACUGGAAUUAUCUCAGCCUAAACUAUAAGAUCUUCAUAAUCAGGAAUCCAUAUCUCUGGAAAAUAUCACCUCAGGGAGCCCCAUCAGAGAAAACUAGGCGGUCAAUGGUGGGGGAUCUCUACCGCGCGCAUAGCAAACCGGUGAUCCAAUCUAACCGGCAAGCAACGAUAGCGAGGUGUGGUUGGGGCGAGGGGGGGUGUUGGCGGGCGUGGGCUAGGUUUACCUCGAGGCAGGCGCGGUACUUGUGCCAGUCGGCGGCGCAGUCGUCCUUGUUCCACUGGCCCUUGGCGAACUUGUCGGCGUACCACCGGUUGAAGCACUCGUGGUACGCCGCCCGGAGGUCGGAGCAGGCCGCCGCGGCAGCCGACGAGGUGGCGGCCGCCGGGGAGGGCGUGGACGAGGAUUGCUUGCCCCGGCCGAACACCAUCCUUGUGCUGCUUCUCCCUGGCCACCACCGCCGCCGAGUCUCGUUUUGUGUUCUCGCUUUGUCCUUCCCUCUCUCUCUUCCGUCCCACGAUCCUGCGCAAAGACGGAGGUUUAUUUACCGUAUAAUAAUCCGCUCGUAAGGCGUAUUUGGGGAUAUUACGUAAACCUACUCGAAGCGGAUUCCAAUUUCUACCGCAAAGCCGUACCCAACUUGCAUACGCCUGGUGUAUUAUGUUUUUCGGACGGACGCCUCGUGUGUGUUUUAACUACUUUUGAGUUUUCUCUCCCUUUUUUUAGCAUAUAAAAUUAAUUGUUUUUGUUAUUUUAAAAACUUCUAAUUUAUUCGUCGACUAUCAAGAUAUAGUACAAAUAACAGAAGUAAAAAUUAAAUCCAUAUCGUAUACCACCUAGCGACGACUACAAGCACUGGGGCGAGCCGAAUAAGCGCUGCCAUCAUCGCCCCUCCAUCACUCGAGUCGGACAAACCUUGUCGUAGUAGACAGUCGGAAAGUCGUCAUGUUAAGACCUCAUACGACCAGCGCACUAGAAUAGCAACCGUCGUCGAUGAAGAGAAGCGUAGAUCAAAAAGAUCCAAUCUGUAGACACACCAACAUAGACGAAUAAAGACUGGAUCCAAGCGGAUCCAUCGAAGAAAACGCCGACUGAAUCCCGUGAGAUCCAUCGGAGACAAACCUCCACAUGCUCUUCGAUGAUGCUAGGCUCUCCUUUCUCCUCCCUCUCCCCCCCGCUCCUCUCCUCCCCCUUCCCUGCCCCUCCGCCACCGCUCCAUGCCCCUCCGCCGUUGCCCUGGGCUCUGAUUCUNNNNNNNNNNNNNNNNNNNNNNNNNNNNNNNNNNNNNNNNNNNNNNNNNNNNNNNNNNNNNNNNNNNNNNNNNNNNNNNNNNNNNNNNNNNNNNNNNNNNNNNNNNNNNNNNNNNNNNNNNNNNNNNNNNNNNNNNNNNNNNNNNNNNNNNNNNNNNNNNNNNNNNNNNNNNNNNNNNNNNNNNNNNNNNNNNNNNNNNNNNNNNNNNNNNNNNNNNNNNNNNNNNNNNNNNNNNNNNNNNNNNNNNNNNNNNNNNNNNNNNNNNNNNNNNNNNNNNNNNNNNNNNNNNNNNNNNNNNNNNNNNNNNNNNNNNNUCCCCUCCCCCCCGCGUCUGGCUGUUCCUCCCCGGCUCGCUCGUCGGUGGUUCGCUCUCCGGCGGCUUCUCCGUCUCUGCUUGGCUCCCGCUUUUGGGCUCUCGCUUCCGAUGAGGAUGGCUCAUCGGACGAGGAUCCUUCCCCCCGGCCCUCGCCGGCUCGCCCUGUGCGGGUCCCUUCCCCCUCCAUCACGCCUCGCCCUCGCAAGUUCGGGCCUGGGGGUCGGGGUCGGCCGGUGCCGUCGCCGUCGUCUGCUGCUGGCUGGGUCCGGAUUUCUUGUAGUCAGCGCAAAUCUGGUAAGGUUUCCUGCUUCUCGCAUGAUCCUGGGAUUCUGGGAGCCGCUCCGGGUGUGGUGUGCCCCUCCUCCCCGUCCUCUGCUUCUGGCCCGGCUUCCCCGUCGCCGGCGGCGGCAUCGCCGGGGCGGGUCGCGUCACUGGCGCCACUUGCCCUAGAUCUGGUCUCCUCUUCGUUGACCAGUGGGUUGCGGGCCGGACCGUCUGUUGGGCCUGUUGGGCCUUGCGCUCUUGUUCUGGCUUGUGAGCCCACUCCCCCUUCUCUGUCGCCAGUUGACGAUUUCCCCCCUCUCUUCUCUGUGGGCCCGGUGCGGCCUGCUUCUGCUUCGCGAGUCCCCCCUCCUCCCCCAGCCCGCUUGGCCCAUCUGGCCCAGGUGGGCACGACUCGGUCUGGGUAUUUAUGGAUCCCCCGCGGCUCCCCCCUGCUAGGGUUUCCGGCUUCCGCCGCUGAUUUGCAUCGUCACCGUCUCCCCAUUCGUUGUCUCGUCAGAUCCAACCCUCCUCCUCCCCUUCUCCUCUCCUUCGCUGCGAUGCUCCCCAUGGACAAAUUGCGGGGCUAGUCCUGUGAUACGGUCUCGGGCAGCAAGCGCCGGCGGGAGGAUUCUCCAGGCUCUGCUGUGGAUUUGGAGCUCGAGGCUUCGCUCCGUUCCAAGUUGGAGGCGGAGCAUGCGGUUCGUGAGCAGGUGGCUCGCGACCGCGCUGCAUGGGCCGUGGGUCCGGCGUGGCUCCAGCGCUCGGAGCGGGAGUGAGCUCCUGGAUCUGGUCCACAAGGGUCCAGAUCUGGGGCUUCUCUCUCUCCGGCGGUGGAUCCUUGGGAAGCGGCGGCGGCGGCUGGUGGGGGGAUCUCGUCCUCGUCGGGCUCCCUGCCUGCCCUUGGCGCGGGGCGUGGCGCGCCUGCUCCGGCGCGGAUUCCCCCCCUGCCCGGCAGGUGCUGGCGCGGGGCCUCGUCCUCCGCCUCGGUCCUUUGGGGGGCCGGCUCGGCGGCCUGCCGGUCCUUUUCCUGGUGCUUCCUCCUCAUUGGGGGUGGGAGAUGGGCUCCUGCCUCGUCCUCCCUCCCUCCCGCAGCUUGGCCCCAAUUCUUCCACCCCGAGCAACCCGUCUGCGCUCACCUGCUUCGCCUGCCAUAGGCCUGGGUACUUUCAAUCCAGAUGCACCAACCCCCCGUUCUGCCUGAUAUGUCGCUCGGAUGGGCACCUCACUGUCAACUGUAUGAAUCGCCAAAAGCCUCCUUCUUUCCUCCAGUUUGGCUUGGGGCUUCCUAGCUGCGCUUUCUUUACUAUGGAUAGCGAUCUCCCUGUCCUAGUGGCGGCCCUCUCCCUCUCUAAUGCUGCCAUAGUGUCGGUGAAAGAUCAAAAGAUCUCGUCUCAAAAUUUGCUUGAAGGGCUUCGGAUCUGGGAUGCUGAAGGUUGGGAUUGGCACGUUAAUCAACUGUCGGACUAUGAAUUCUCUGUUGUGUUCCCUUCCAAGGACUGCCUUCGGAUGAUUGCCUCGUGCACUAGCUUCACCCUUUCCCUCAACCAAUUGGUGGUUUCUGUGAAGCCGGCCACGUGCAGUGGAAAAGCGGUUGGUCCUCUCUCUCAGGUCUGGGUGUUGGUGGACGAUUUGCCAGCGGGCUCCGAUCUUCUGCCUUUCUCAUGGCGUUUGAUGUCCUGAUUGGGAAACCUGUGGAGGUGGAUGUGGAGUCAUUGGAUAAGGUUGGUCCAGCUCGGAUCAAGAUUUGGUGUUUGGACCCACUCUGUGUUCAUGGAGCUAUCGAUGUUUUUCCGUCUCCCAAUGGUGUCAGGCUUCGUGUUCGGGUGGAAGGGGCGGCUGCUUUCCAACCCCCACCCCCUCCUCCUCCCCCAUCCAACCCCUCGGACAAGCAUGAUAAGGAGGGGGAUGGCUCUGUGGGUGGUCAAAACCAGAGUGACGGAUCUAACCUGCGGUUCACCCAAUCCGAGUGGGAUGGGCUGGCUGAUUCGGAGCAGGAGUUGUUUCAUUCCCAGGCCCCUGCCGACACGGCUCCCCGUGAGUCGGUGGCGAUCCCCCUGCUGACCCUCUGGUGCCUGCUACUGAUGAUGUGUUUCUGAAGAACCAGCCUGUUUCGGCCACCCCUAUUUCCGGGGCCUGCUCCAACCUUUCAGUUUGUCCUAUCUCCCCCACUCGCUCCGGGAUUGAGGACCUGCCUGUCUUCCCUGGUCGUGAUGAGGUGGGGGCUUAGUCUAAGAGGAAGAAGAAAUCGUCAGUGCGCAAGUUCUCGGCUAAGAGCAGGAACUCCUCGGGCUCUAAACAAUCCAUGACUGGUGUUUGCCGCCGCCUCGACAAGGACCUCGACUCGAUGUCUUGCUCGGGCCCCGUCCCGGCUUCUCCCAUGGCUCGUUCUCCUGCGAUCCGGUCGCCCGCUUCCACGACUCGCAAGGGUAGGCGGGUUGCUGAUGCGGGCGGCUCUAUCAUGGAGCGGGCGGAGAGGCGGGCCACUGCUAAGGAUCUUCCCCCUUCAGGUAAACAUCUUGGUCCUUCCCCUUCUUCCUCCCCGACUCGGCUCGUUUUACCGCCCCUUUCCGAUGAUAUCCUUUUAAAUAUUAUGUCUGAUGUGGGAGUGUUGGUAGAUCCCGAGGUUGCCUCCCCUGUUUCUCUUCUUUCUACUAUUCGGGCUAACAAGAUGGCUCAGGCGGCCAUCGCUAAAGCCAAAGAGGCCGUUGCCUCUUCGGCUGCAGUUUCUGUAGGAGUCCGGGCUCAGGGUGCGGGUAUGGAGGUUGGUAGUGGCCAACCCCAGCCUAGCACUUCCAGAAGGGGCCCUGCUAAAAGAUCUAAACCCCGCACAGCUCCUAGCAGGUCGAGCCUCCGCAUUAAAAAUCUGUCUUACAAAUGAAAGCCCUAUUUUGGAACAUUAGAGGUUUCGGUGCUAGGGGGCGCCAUGACCAAAUUAAGGACUUGGUGCGUGCGAAUAAUAUCGAUUUGGUGGGGCUGGUUGAAACCUUUUAAAGAGUCUUUUUCCCCCAAUGAACUUUCUGCUAUCGCGGGCAUGGAUAGAUUUGAUUGGCAUGUGUUACCUGCUUCGGGCCAUCCGGGGGGAUCUUGAUUGGCUCAAAAAAAGAUGUCUUUGAUUUCGUUGCCUUUGAUCAUGGGGUCUUCUGGGCUAGCACGGUAGUUUGUCACAAAACCCUUAAUAUUCUAUGGGGAGUUCAUUGUGGUGUAUGGUCUAGCGGAUCACUCGAUGUCUUCCUUAUUUUUGGAUGAGUUGUCUGCUAAGAUUGAGGCUUGCAAUCUAGCGAUGGUUAUCGGCGGGGACUUUAACCUCCUUCAUUUUCCAUUUGAUAAAAGUAAUGACAAUUUUUCCUGGUCUCUGGCUAAUGCCUUCAAUGACUUUAUUAGCACCAAUGCCAUCCGCGAGCUCUCUAGGGUUGGAGCCCGUUUCACUUGGUCUAAUCAUCAGGCCAACCGAUUAGAUCAGUGCUUUAUAGAGUUUCUGUGUGUCCUAGUUGGGACUCUCUAUUUCCCCGGGCCUCCCUCACCGCGAAAAGUAUCGUUGCCCCCGACCAUACCCCUCUUCUUCUUGAUGAUGGGAUGCAUCAAGAUAGACCUCCUGCUAGGUUCCAAUUUGACGCUUCCUGGCUACUUGUUGAAGGCUUUAACGAUAUGCUAUCCUCGAAGAUUGCCCUUCUUCUUUCCUCAAAUGCUCGUUCCUUUGGUCCUUUAGACGAUUGGCACUCUUGCUCUUACAAUUUAAGCAAAUUUCUUAGAGGCUGGUCUCGUAAUCACGCUGCUGAGGAGCGUCGCUCGAAGGAUCUCAUAGAAUCUCAAAUCUUGGCUCUUGACCAUGCGGCUGAUUCCUCUAGGCUCUCUGACGAUGGGUGGUCUUUGCGGUACUGUGACGCCCCCGAUUCAAUCGUACACUAAUCAUGCACGCAAAUGUGUACGAUCAAGAUCAGGGACUCACGGGAAGAUAUCACAACACAACUCUACAAAUAAAAUAAGUCAUACAAGCAUCAUAAUACAAGCCAGGGGCCUCGAGGGCUCGAAUACAAGUGCUCGAUCAUAGAUGAGUCAGCGGAAGCAACAAUAUCUGAGUACAGACAUAAGUUAAACAAGUUGCCAUAAGAUGGCUAGCACAAACUGGGAUAUAGAUCGAAAGAGGCGCAGGCCUCCUGCCUGGGAUCCUCCUAACUACUCCUGGUCGUCGUCGUUAGCCUGCACGUAGUAGUAGGCACCUCCAAUGUAGUAGUCGUCGUCGACACUGGCUCCUGGCUCCUGGACUCCAGCAUCUGGUUGCGACAACCAGAAAGAAAGGAAAGGGGAAAAAAGGGGGGAGAAAGCAACCGUGAGUACUCAUCCAAAGUACUCGCAAGCAAGGAACUACACUACAUAUGCAUGGGUAUAUGUGUAAGGAGGCCAUAGCAGUGGACUGAACUGCAGAAUGCCAGAAUAAGAGGGGGAUAGCUAAUCCUGUCGAAGACUACGCUUCUGGCAGCCUCCGUCUUGCAGCAUGUAGAAGAGAGUAGAUUGAAGUCCUCCAAGUAGCAUCUCCAAGUAGCAUAUCCAGGUAGCAUAUCCAGGUAGCAUCUCCAAGCGCAUCUCCAGUCGCAUCGCAUAGCAUAAUCCUACCCGGCGAUCCUCUCCUCGUCGCCCUGUAGAAAAGCGAUCACCGGGUUGUCUGUGGAACUUGGAAGGGUGUGUUUUAUUAAGUAUCCGGUUCUAGUUGUCAUAAGGUCAAGGUACAACUCCAAGUCGUCCUGUUACCGAAGAUCACGGCUAUUCGAAUAGAUUAACUUCCCUGCAGGGGUGCACCACAUAACCCAACACGCUCGAUCCCAUUUGGCCGGACACACUUUCCUGGGUCAUGCCCGGCCUCGAAAGAUCAACACGUCGCAGCCCCACCUAGGCUCAACAGAGAGGCCAGCACGCCGGUCUAAACCUAAGCGCACAGGGGUCUGGGCCCAUCGCCCAUAGCACACCUGCACGUUGCGAGGGCGGCCGAAAGCAGACCUAGCCUAGUGGCGUUCCAGUCCAAUUCGGCGCGCGCCGCUCCGUCGCUGACGUCUGAAGUGCUUCGGCUGAUACCACGACGUCGGGAUACCCAUAACUACUCACACGUAGAUGGUUAGUGCGUAUAGGCUCGUAGCCGACUCAGAUCAAAUACCAAGAUCUCGUUAAGCGUGUUAAGUAUCCGCGAACGCCGAACAGGGCCAGGCCCACCUCUCUCCUAGGUGGUCACAACCUGCCCUGCCGCUCCGCUACAAAGUAAUAGUCGGGGGCCGUCGGGAACCCAGGCCCACCUCUACUGGGAUGGAGCCACCUGCCCCUUCAGCCCCCAACUCCGAACAGUAUCACAGGUAAUGUAACAGUGUAAAGUAUAUAGUAUAUGCCCGUGAUCACCUCCCGAAGUGAUCACAGCCCAGUAGUAUAGCAUGGCAGACGGACAAGAGUGUAGGGCCACUGAUGGAACACUAGCAUCCUAUAUUAAGCAUUUAGGAUUGCGGGUAAGGUAUCAAUGACUGUAGCAGCAAUGACAGGCUAUGCAUCAGAAUAGGAUUAACGGAAAGCAGUAACAUGCUACACUACUCUAAUGCAAGCAGUAUAGAGAAGAGUAGGCGAUAUCUGGUGAUCAAAGGGGGGGCUUGCCUGGUUGCUCUGGCAAGAGAGAGGGGUCGUCAACACCGUAGUCGAAUUGGGCAGCAGCAGCGUCGGUCUCGUAGUCUACCGGAGAGAAGAGGGGGAGAAACAGUAAAUACAUAGCAAUCAAGUGCAUAACAGGACAACAAGCAGAGCUAGACGUGUUCUAACUCGGUAGUAGGUGAUACCGACGAAGGGGGAAAGCAUCCGGGAAAGUAUUCCCGGUGUUUCGUGUUUUCGGACAGAUGAAACGGAGGAGGAAAGUUGCGUGUUUGAUAUGUUAGGGGUGUGUGGUGGACGAACGGGCUGCGUAUCCAAAAUCGUCUCGUCGUUCUGAGCAACUUUCAUGUUGAAAAUAUUUUAAUCCGAGUUACGGAUUAAAAGAUAUGAUUUUCUAAAUAUUUUAUUAAUUUCUGGAAUUUAAUUAAUUCGAAAAUGAUUUAAUGACAUCAGCAUGAUGUCAUGCUGACAUCAGAGUUGACUGGUCAACCUGACUUGUGGGUCCCAUUCGUCAUUGACUGAUUAGUCUAAUUAGGGUUUAAUUAAACUAUCUACUUAAUUAGAUUAAUUAAACAUGAUUAAUUAACUUAAUUAAUUCAUUAACUAUUUUAAUUAUUAAUUAAUUAAUUAAAUAUAUAUUUAUUUUUAUUUCGUUUUUUUUUCUCAGGGGUGUGGGCCCUGUUUGGCAUUGGCCCAGAGGCAACUAACAGUGUUUAGUUACUCUAAAAAUAUAUUAAUUAGUGAUGUGGGGCCAGGCUAUCAGUGAGUCAUUUUUUUACAGAGUUUAUUUAACCAAAAAAACAUUAAUUAGCAAGGUGGGGCCCGGUGUCAGGGAGUUAGGGGGGUCAUUAGCGCAUCACUAAUGAGGCCACGUCAGUGGCUAACGGCGGUGAUGGCAGAAUGCGCCGGCGGUAGCCGUUCAGUGGACUCCGACCACUAUGUGGCCCGGCGACGGUUCCCACGGCACGUGCUCGAUGUCGCUUGUCAAUUGUUGACCGCGGCUCGUGCGGGGGCUGCCGGAAUCGACGGGGGCGACGGCGUGUAGUGGCGGCGACGUUGGAGAGCACGGAGGGAGGCGGUUGCAGGGGCGGCCCGAGCGGUAGAGCUCCGGCGGGCGCGCGGUCACGGGACAGAGGCUGGGCACGGGCGCAGUGAGGGCGCCGUGGCGGUGCGGCAGUAGCAGCCGUGGCUACGUGGCGCGCACGGGCACGCGGGGGGAGGCGAGCGGGCCACACGGCAGCGCGGGCGACAGCAGGGGAGCACGGCGGGAGCUAGCGGGUGCAGGCCACAGGCGGGGAACGGCGAGCAAGGGGACCGGAGGAGAGGAAUCUCACGAGGGGAUGUAGGGUCCGGGCAGUGGGGGUCGAGGAAGAAGACAGGGACGACGCAGUCUGGCGGGGAGGCGAUGCCGGCGAGGUAGCGGGCGAUCCGGUGGUGGCGGCGUCGAGCGAUGACGGGGUGGGGGCCCCGAGCACUGGGCACCAGUCAGGAGGAGGUGAGGACGGGGCAGCAACCGGGCCGCCGGCGACGAGGGCGGCAAGGGGAUGAGCGGCGACAGCGAGGAAGCACCGAGCGGCGUCGGGGUCGAGCCCUCGAUCUCGAUCCAGAUCGAGGGGGGAGUGNNNNNNNNNNNNNNNNNNNNNNNNNNNNNNNNNNNNNNNNNNNNNNNNNNNNNNNNNNNNNNNNNNNNNNNNNNNNNNNNNNNNNNNNNNNNNNNNNNNNNNNNNNNNNNNNNNNNNNNNNNNNNNNNNNNNNNNNNNNNNNNNNNNNNNNNNNNNNNNNNNNNNNNNNNNNNNNNNNNNNNNNNNNNNNNNNNNNNNNNNNNNNNNNNNNNNNNNNNNNNNNNNNNNNNNNNNNNNNNNNNNNNNNNNNNNNNNNNNNNNNNNNNNNNNNNNNNNNNNNNNNNNNNNNNNNNNNNNNNNNNNNNNNNNNNNNNNNNNNNNNNNNNNNNNNNNNNNNNNNNNNNNNNNNNNNNNNNNNNNNNNNNNNNNNNNNNNNNNNNNNNNNNNNNNNNNNNNNNNNNNNNNNNNNNNNNNNNNNNNNNNNNNNNNNNNNNNNNNNNNNNNNNNNNNNNNNNNNNNNNNNNNNNNNNNNNNNNNNNNNNNNNNNNNNNNNNNNNNNNNNNNNNNNNNNNNNNNNNNNNNNNNNNNNNNNNNNNNNNNNNNNNNNNNNNNNNNNNNNNNNNNNNNNNNNNNNNNNNNNNNNNNNNNNNNNNNNNNNNNNNNNNNNNNNNNNNNNNNNNNNNNNNNNNNNNNNNNNNNNNNNNNNNNNNNNNNNNNNNNNNNNNNNNNNNNNNNNNNNNNNNNNNNNNNNNNNNNNNNNNNNNNNNNNNNNNNNNNNNNNNNNNNNNNNNNNNNNNNNNNNNNNNNNNNNNNNNNNNNNNNNNNNNNNNNNNNNNNNNNNNNNNNNNNNNNNNNNNNNNNNNNNNNNNNNUUUAGUUUUGUAAAGUACAAAAAUGAUCCCUAAAUUGGUAAUAGAAAUUAUACCACUGCCACAAUUAAUUUGGCACCUAAAUAUAUUAGUUUGUAAUCGUUUAUCAUUUUAAAAGCAUUUAAAUAAUUGUGUUUGCUACUGUUUUAGUUUAUUUAGUGCAUUUAAAUAUUUUAUUAAAUGAUGAUUUCUUCACCAACAUUUAUUAUGGAUUAUUUGACACAUUAGGAACAAUUUAGUUUUGACUUUUGAAAACUUUAAUUGUUUUAACUUUAAUUCAAAUUUAGAAUUUGAACCUAUUUCGAUCUAACGUGGGAUUAUCAACAAUAAUCGAGGUGACGUGGCAUCGUUAACACGGGAUUACUGUAGCUUGAUUACCCGGGCGUCACAAUUCUCCUCCAGUACAAGAAAUCUCGUCCCGAGAUUUAAGAGGUAGUGAAAGGGGGAAGGUUUGGUAACGAAUCUAGCGGGUCUUCUCAUUCUGCCUUGCUCUUCUCAAAGAGGCCGGUCCAAUACAUUGAUGUCUUCAUUUCUCUGUUUCAGGUCAUGAUAAUGCAGUCGGCAUCCUUUCUUCAGGAACUCCAUCGUACUUACGAGAGAAUAAAGGGUGGGUAUUCCGGGAGAACAGACCUCUGCAAGGUCAACUAUCUGGUCGAUAACAUCGAGGGAGGUGUCGGAAGUAACUCUCGAAUUUAAACUUAAGAAAAUAUCGAGAGUAAAGUAAGAAGGUACCAUGAGAAGUUUCCAAUGGGCAGGCAAUCGUUCAAUGGCCUAAUCAGAAGGUGAAAGGGGUUCAGAGCAACGAGAAUAGGUAUUGCGCCUCAUACCAGAAUAGUUCACUAGACAGGUGGUCUGUGAAUUACAUACGAAGUCAAGCGUGAGGAACAACCUUGGGAACAUGUGGUGUUCAGGAGAGUCAGGUUUCGAUCCUGUGGAACUGUGGGUUAUGGGCCCACCAUGUUGGUUAAAAGUAGGAAGGGCGCUGACAUCUCGCACGGUCAGGGUGGCAAGGCAUGUCAAAGGAUAGCCUGUCAGUAUGUCAGCAACAACAUCGGUACCAAGGGCGAGGAACGAAGAGAACCAUUUUCCUGCUCGUUGAAACGAGGCAGACCAAUAGGGAAAGUUCCCGUCCAUCGGUGGUUACCGGAAGUCAUCAACAGUAGAAACAGGGUCUCGCUGACAGAGUUGUACACCGAGGUGCUACCAUAAGCAGUGAAUUAUUACUGCUUAUACAAUAUAGAUCACAAGAAGGUUUAAACAAACCAAUGGAAAGGGAAAAGUGAUUAUCAGGUUUUAAACAGAACAAUGGAAAGGAAAAUGUGUUUAAACACAUAUUUCAAGGGUAUAUUCUUCCCAAGGCCAAGCAGAACAUAUUAUCCAUCACAGGGUAUAAUGUAGACAACUCUUUAGGUAAGGGGGGGAGGAAUCUCAUGAUAUUACCCAUACAACGGUGUUAGGAUAAUUGAUAAAUAAAAUUUAGCAUCGUGCUUCAAAUGUUCCUGUUGAAAAUCGGAGUACCAUUGACAUGCUUCGAGAUAGCAUUGACAUGGUCUUCAGGUGAAGAUCAGACUUUGGAAACACGAAGGAUCCAUCAGGAAUAACUGGUAUAAUAAGCCUUACAAUUUCCUCCAGGAAGAAUGGUUGUCCUUGCAAAAGAAAUUAUAACGAUAGGUCCUCCACCCAGGGGGGGGGGGUGCUAGGCAUGACAUCAUGUUACCGGGUCACGUAGAGAUCAAUGUUACAACUCUUGGAAAUAUGUCCCAACCAUCAUAUCUGACCGAGAUUCAGAUCCGGUUGGUGUCAGGAUACCUCAGACUUAGGAUACCUGAGAAGAAAAGGUGCAACGCAAAUUGACGAGAUGACAUUGUAAGAUUCUCGGGGAAAUGAACUAUGAAGUGAUUUCUGUUAUCAAGAGUCCAUCAUUAACCCAAGGAGAGGACAAGGAGGUGUCUGGUGAACUCAACGGCAAUUCACCGAGAUUCCCAAAAGAUGGAUGUCCACAAUUAAGUGAACAAGGAGAUAACAUUUGUUAGAUCAAAUGAUAUAAGGAAGUAUGCUCGAGGAAAACAUACACAAUUAAACAUUGGUUGAAAGGUGCGCCCGAAAUAUGGGUUGGGUUGCACGACCAAUGUCAGAAUGGUGAUGCAAUAAUCAAUAGCCUAAGAAUGAACUUUCGACCAUUAACUUCAAAGAGAUAGGGUUGCUAGAAGGAAAGAAUCCAAACAACACCGUUCACUUGUUGGAAUUAACACAGGGACCAAGAAAGAAUGGUGAUGGUGAGAAGUAUUUCUAUGUCAAGAAUUCUCAAGAGGUGGAACAAAUCUCAGAACAUUCUUGACAUAAAGGACGGUAAUACUCCAAGGUAAAGAAGAACAAUUGCUGGAUAGCAAGGAAACCAAGGUACAACACAAAUUGUGAACAAGUUUGUGUUGGGGGGGGGGGAAGGCAAGAAUGUUGCCAACGAUAACUCAAAUCAUCGAGGGACAAGGAUGGUAUUUCUCAUCAUGAAUUCAAUUGAUAUCCUGGAAGAACUCAUAAGGUUGAUGAGGAUCACGACACAUUUGUCGACAGAUUUCAUGAAGAAGUAAUCAAUCAGCGACGACAUCAAGUCAAAGGAAUGAUGAAGCCAAAAGUCAUUGGAACCAUGGGUACGACACAAACUCGAACUCAAGCUUGUUGUUUAAGGUGAAAGGGUAUGACGAGGAAAAUCGACGUAAGGUUAGUUCAUCGUCGAAAAUUGGUGCUCCGAGAAUAAGGACCAGGUAGCACCGUUAGAAUCGUCACGACAAUGAUAUAGCCAAACAGGCUAGGAAUGGCGUGAUCGGGUACAAACUCGUACUUAUAGAAGCUUACUGAAGAGUUGUUGAACCGUAGAGCGGACUCGGUUCAGUUAUCGGUGUCUUUGAGUGUUCAAUAACUCCGAGCCCAUGAAAAAUUGUAAUCGGUGAGUAUGUAGUACUUGAUGAAGAACUCAUAAGAAAUUAUGCAGUUCCAAGAUAAUCUCGAGAUACCAGGUGGUAAUACUCGAUGACAGAUCAAACUAGAAGUUGAACUGGGGUUUUGCUCUAUAGAAGACAAGUGCUUAAACUUGCACAGGACAUGAUAUUUAAAGGAGAACAUGGUCAGAACCACGAUUGCAAAAAGGCCAGAUCUCAGAUAUAAGAUGAACUUAUACCAAGGGAAUAAUUGAUUUUAAAAGAAGCUUCGAUGAGAAGAUCUACAUCAUGUCUAUGGGCAUGAACACAAAGUUCAAGGUCGACUCCCACUUCUUCAAUGUAUAAUCUUCCAUUCACUUCUCGCUUUGAUAAAGGCAUUAGUGUUGAAAGUUUUACCCGGUGAAAUACCAGAUGAGUAUGACUCGUGAAAUCUUCCGAGUUCACACAUAUUAAGGAAGGCAUAGGUUCAACCCAUCCGGGCAUCUUACGAACAUAUACCACAAACUUCGGGGUAAUUAAUACAAGCUCGAAAGUAGAGCAUUGUUGGUCAAGCAGAGGAUACAAUGUACCAAAGGCAUUAUGUAUCAGGGGAAAGAGCUCACAAGGUGAUUAAUUAUGAAGGACAUAAAAUCCAACAAAGGAACCGAUGGUCCACAACAGAGCUGGUGUGGGUAUCGGUACUCUAUCAAAGGAAGAAGGAAUGCAAGUGCACCGGAUUAUAGAAACAACUGACUAACUCAAUUGUCAAAUGCAAAGGAAUUAAGAUUCCCAAAUCAAGGGAUCAAAAGCAAUGCUCUGAGUAGGGAUGGAUAAGUUGAAUAGCCUUAGGGUACAAUCAAUGACAAUUGGAUUGGUCGAGAACCAAUUCCAGUUAAAAGAAUGGCAACUUAGCCGGAGAAGUAAUUUAUAAGGAUCAAUGAUGAUUGCGUGCAUUCGCAAACAUAUUGAGUCAACAGACUCAAAAUGAUAAUGACAAGGAAUGUCAUUAAGACUACGAGACUUAUGGGAUUAACCAUAAUGCGAGCAAGCAAGAACUUCAAGAGCCAAAGGCUCCAGAGGAUUUUCGGAAGAUCGAAUAGUAUUUUGAAGACUUUUGUGAAACUCAUGAACAACUGGGGAUGAGCGGAUACUUGACAAGUGCGGGGAUUUAUUUGAAGGGGUAUUCAUGUGGCAAAUAACUGCUAGGCAGUAGGCACGAAGUAUUCUCGGAACAAUAGAGAAAACUUCGGGUAUCUUGUAAUAACAAGAACAAUGGGGAAUGAUCGUAAGAAUGGCAAGUGCAAGUAGUUAUCCAUAAGGAUUUAUCGGUGGUCGGGAAUAGCAAAAGUGAUGGGCACAAAGUCUCGAGAGAAUAUCAAAGAGUAUCUCCGAAAUCUUCUGGUGCAGUCGGUGACCAUCUGGACUGAAGGGGCUCACCGGGACAAAGCAUUUUCGAGAACCUAAAGUUACUUUUUAGUAAAAAUCGUUUAACCCGAAUAGAAGAGGGUUCAGAAUCCCAGAGUGAAGGUCGAGGAAUAAAAGAUCCUAAUACCUCCCGAUGGCGACGUGGGCCCAUGGGCCACACAGCCAUGUUAGUAAAAGUUUUUCAACGACUAGACUCGACUUCGGCCAAGGAGUUGGAAAGGGGGAUUCCUACAGACAGUCGGCUCUGAUACCAACUUGUGACGCCCCCGAUUCAAUCGUACACUAAUCAUGCACGCAAAUGUGUACGAUCAAGAUCAGGGACUCACGGGAAGAUAUCACAACACAACUCUACAAAUAAAAUAAGUCAUACAAGCAUCAUAAUACAAGCCAGGGGCCUCGAGGGCUCGAAUACAAGUGCUCGAUCAUAGACGAGUCAGCGGAAGCAACAAUAUCUGAGUACAGACAUAAGUUAAACAAGUUGCCAUAAGAUGGCUAGCACAAACUGGGAUAUAGAUCGAAGGAGGCGCAGGCCUCCUGCCUGGGAUCCUCCUAACUACUCCUGGUCGUCGUCGUCAGCCUGCACGUAGUAGUAGGCACCUCCAAUGUAGUAGUUGUCGUCGACACUGGCUCCUGGCUCCUGGACUCCAGCAUCUGGUUGCGACAACCAGAAAGAAAGGAAAGGGGAAAAAAGGGGGGAGAAAGCAACCGUGAGUACUCAUCCAAAGUACUCGCAAGCAAGGAACUACACUACAUAUGCAUGGGUAUAUGUGUAAGGAGGCCAUAGCAGUGGACUGAACUGCAGAAUGCCAGAAUAAGAGGGGGAUAGCUAAUCCUGUCGAAGACUACGCUUCUGGCAGCCUCCGUCUUGCAGCAUGUAGAAGAGAGUAGAUUGAAGUCCUCCAAGUAGCAUCUCCAAGUAGCAUAUCCAGGUAGCAUAUCCAGGUAGCAUCUCCAAGCGCAUCUCCAGUCGCAUCGCAUAGCAUAAUCCUACCCGGCGAUCCUCUCCUCGUCGCCCUGUAGAAAAGCGAUCACCGGGUUGUCUGUGGAACUUGGAAGGGUGUGUUUUAUUAAGUAUCCGGUUCUAGUUGUCAUAAGGUCAAGGUACAACUCCAAGUCGUCCUGUUACCGAAGAUCACGGCUAUUCGAAUAGAUUAACUUCCCUGCAGGGGUGCACCACAUAACCCAACACGCUCGAUCCCAUUUGGCCGGACACACGUUCCUGGGUCAUGCCCGGCCUCGGAAGAUCAACACGUCGCAGCCCCACCUAGGCUCAACAGAGAGGCCAGCACGCCGGUCUAAACCUAAGCGCACAGGGGUCUGGGCCCAUCGCCCAUAGCACACCUGCACGUUGCGAGGGCGGCCGAAAGCAGACCUAGCCUAGUGGCGUUCCAGUCCAAUUCGGCGCGCGCCGCUCCGUCGCUGACGUCUGAAGUGCUUCGGCUGAUACCACGACGUCGGGAUACCCAUAACUACUCCCACGUAGAUGGUUAGUGCGUAUAGGCUCGUAGCCGACUCAGAUCAAAUACCAAGAUCUCGUUAAGCGUGUUAAGUAUCCGCGAACGCCGAACAGGGCCAGGCCCACCUCUCUCCUAGGUGGUCACAACCUGCCCUGCCGCUCCGCUACAAAGUAAUAGUCGGGGGCCGUCGGGAACCCAGGCCCACCUCUACCGGGAUGGAGCCACCUGCCCCUUCAGCCCCCAACUCCGAACAGUAUCACAGGUAAUGUAACAGUGUAAAGUAUAUAGUAUAUGCCCGUGAUCACCUCCCGAAGUGAUCACAUCCCAGUAGUAUAGCAUGGCAGACGGACAAGAGUGUAGGGCCACUGAUGGAACACUAGCAUCCUAUAUUAAGCAUUUAGGAUUGCGGGUAAGGUAUCAAUGACUGUAGCAGCAAUGACAGGCUAUGCAUCAGAAUAGGAUUAACGGAAAGCAGUAACAUGCUACACUACUCUAAUGCAAGCAGUAUAGAGAAGAGUAGGCGAUAUUUGGUGAUCAAAGGGGGGGCUUGCCUGGUUGCUCUGGCAAGAGAGAGGGGUCGUCAACACCAUAGUCGAAUUGGGCAGCAGCAGCGUCGGUCUCGUAGUCUACCGGAGAGAAGAGGGGGAGAAACAGUAAAUACAUAGCAAUCAAGUGCAUAACAGGACAACAAGCAGAGCUAGACGUGUUCUAACUCGGUAGUAGGUGAUACCGACGAAGGGGGAAAGCAUCCGGGAAAGUAUUCCCGGUGUUUCGUGUUUUCGGACAGAUGAAACGGAGGGGGAAAGUUGCGUGUUUGAUAUGUUAGGGGUGUGUGGUGGACGAACGGGCUGCGUAUCCGAAAUCGUCUCGUCGUUCUGAGCAACUUUCAUGUUGAAAAUAUUUUAAUCUGAGUUACGGAUUAAAAGAUAUGAUUUUCUAAAUAUUUUAUUAAUUUCUGGAAUUUAAUUAAUUCGAAAAUGAUUUAAUGACAUCAGCAUGAUGUCAUGCUGACAUCAGAGUUGACUGGUCAAUCUGACUUGUGGGUCCCAUUCGUCAUUGACUGAUUAGUCUAAUUAGGGUUUAAUUAAACUAUCUACUUAAUUAGAUUAAUUAAACAUGAUUAAUUAACUUAAUUAAUUCAUUAACUAUUUUAAUUAUUAAUUAAUUAAUUAAAUAUAUAUUUAUUUUUAUUUCGUUUUUUUUUCUCAGGGGUGUGGGCCCUGUUUGGCAUUGGCCCAGAGGCAACUAACAGUGUUUAGUUACUCUAAAAAUAUAUUAAUUAGUGAUGUGGGGCCACGCUAUCAGUGAGUCAUUUUUUUACAGAGUUUAUUUAACCAAAAAAAAACAUUAAUUAGCAAGGUGGGGCCUGGUGUUAGGGAGUCAGGGGGGUCAUUAGCGCAUCGCUAAUGAGGCCACAUCAGUGGCUAACGGCGGUGAUGGCAGAAUGCGCCGGCGGCAGCCGUUCAGUGGACUCCGACCACUAUGUGGCCCGGCGACGGUUCCCACGGCACGUGCUCGAUGUCGCGUGUCAAUUGUUGACCGCGGCUCGUGCGGGGGCUGCCGGAAUCGACGGGGGCGACGGCGUGCAGUGGCGGCGACGUUGGAGAGCACGGAGGGAGGCGGUUGCAGGGGCGGCCCGAGCGGUAGAGCUCCGGCGGGCGCGCGGUCACGGGACAGAGGCUGGGCACGGGCGCAGUGAGGGCGCCGUGGCGGUGCGGCAGUAGCAGCCGUGGCUACGUGGCGCGCACGGGCGCGCGGGGGGAGGCGAGCGGGCCACACGGCAGCGCGGGCGACAGCAGGGGAGCACGGCGGGAGCUAGCGGGUGCAGGCCACAGGCGGGGAACGGCGAGCAAGGGGACCGGAGGAGAGGAAUCUCACGAGGGGAUGUAGGGUCCGGGAAGUGGGGGUCAAGGAAGAAGACAGGGACGACGCAGUCUGGCGGGGAGGCGAUGCCGGCGAGGUAGCGGGCGAUCCAGUGGUGGCGGCGUCGAGCGAUGACGGGGUGGGGGCCCCGAGCACUGGGCACCAGUCAGGAGGAGGUGAGGACGGGGCAGCAACCGGGCCGCCGGCGACGAGGGCGGCAAGGGGAUGAGCGGCGACAGCGAGGAAGCACCAAGCGGCGUCGGGGUCGAGCCCUCGAUCUCGAUCCAGAUCGAGGGGGGAGUGGGCGAUGUGGGGGGAGGAGUGGGGUAGUGCGGUCGGGUUAGGGUUUCGGUCGGGUUGGGGGGGUUAAGUGGUGCUGGGGCCGGUUGGGCCAGUGAGCUGGCCGGCUGGGCCGUUGGCCCAGUUGGCCAGGGGGCCUUUUCUGUAUUUUAGUUCUCUAUUCUUUUAUGUAUUUUAUUUCUUUUUUUGUUUUAUUUUGUUCCUCAUUGUAUUUUAGUUUUGUAAAGUACAAAAAUGAUCCCUAAAUUGGUAAUAGAAAUUAUACCACUGCCACAAUUAAUUUGGCACCUAAAUAUAUUAGUUUGUAAUCGUUUAUCAUUUUAAAAGCAUUUAAAUAAUUGUGUUUGCUACUGUUUUAGUUUAUUUAGUGCAUUUAAAUAUUUUAUUAAAUGAUGAUUUCUUCACCAACAUUUAUUAUGGAUUAUUUGACACAUUAGGAACAAUUUAGUUUUGACUUUUGAAAACUUUAAUUGUUUUAACUUUAAUUCAAAUUUAGAAUUUGAACCUAUUUCGAUCUAACGUGGGAUUAUCAACAAUAAUCGAGGUGACGUGGUAUCGUUAACACGGGAUUACUGUAUCUUGAUUACCCGGGCGUCACAGGUACAAUCUUGAGGCUGCCUUGAUGCAAUUGCAUCAACAGGCUGAAAUCUACUGGCGCCAGCGGGGCACGCUUAACUGGACUCUAAAAGGGUACUCCCCAUGACUUAUUUCUUUGCCAUCGCUAACGGUAGGAGAAGGCGGUGUGGUAUUAACAACCUGAUCAUUAAUGGAGUGCGUUCUUCGGACCAGUCUAUGAUCCUCUCUCACGUGGUAGAGUUCUUCUCUUCGCUAUUAGGGGCCAAACCUCCUUCGGGAUUUUCCAUUUCUCCAACCUUGUGGGACCAUAGUUUGAAGAUUUUAGCCGAAGAGAAUGCUUCGUUGAUGGUUCCCCUCUCUGAUAAGGAGAUCUGGGAUGUGGUUAACUCUGCUAACCUGAGUGCUGCUUCCGGGCUGGAUGGCUUCUCGAUCCCUUUCUUUCGGAAGUUUUGGCCUCAGUUGAGGCAACUGGUUUGUAAUGUUAUCCAGGGGUUUUGUCUAGGAACUACUGAUAUAUCUCGCCUUAAUUAUGCGGUGAUCUCCCUGAUUCCUAAAGUUAAAGGGGCUGAACUGAUUUCCCAGUUCAGGCCUAUUGUGCUGAUCAAUAACUUUGCUAAGUUCCCUGCUAAGGGCUUUGCUAAUCGUCUGUCCCCUGUUGCCCAUAGAGUUAUCAGUCCCUACUAGUUUGCUUUCAUCAAAGGGUGCUUCAUUUUGGAUGGCAUCCUCUGUCUUCAUGAUAUUGUUCAUGAUUUGCGAUCUUGCAAUUCUAAGGCGGUCAUCUUAAAAAUAGACUUUGAGAUAGCCUAUGACUCGGUUAGCUGGCCUUUUCUCAGGAAGGUUCUUCUAGCGAAAGGCUUCGACGGGGCAUAUGUGCAUCAUAUUUUGCAGUUGGUCUUGGGUGGCCACACUACAGUCUCUGUGAAUGGCCAUAUUAGUAAUUUUUUGUUAGUGGCAGAGGCUUGCGUCAAGGGGAUCCUGUCUCUCCUGUCCUGUUCAAUUUUGUAGCCGAUGCCUUUUCUCGCAUCCUUUCUAGGGCGGCUCAGCAUGGUCAUAUCUUGCCUGUGGUAUCUCAUUUAGUCCCUAACGGAGUCACUCACUUGCAAUACACCGAUGACACCAUCAUUAUGGUUGAAUUGAAUGAUGCCUGCAUUGCCCACCUUAAGUUCAUCCUGUUAUGCUUUGAGGCCGUCUCGGGCUUGAAAAUUAACUUUUCUAAAAGUGAGGUCCUGGUUACUGGUGUUGAUGAUACGGAGGCCUUGAGAGUGGCUAGGUUGCUUAAUUGUUCCAUGGGUUCCUUCCCUUUCAAAUAUCUGGGACUUCCCAUCUCUCCUGUUAUGCUUCAUGCAAAGGACUUUGCUCCGGCUGUUUCUAAGGUGGGAAACAGGGUUCUUCCCUGGAGAGGUAGAUAUAACACUAAUGCUGGCAAAGUUGCUCUCAUUAACGCUUGCCUCUCCUCCCUCCCAAUGUUCCUUAUGGACUUCUAUCUUUUAUCGGCUGGCAUUCAUGCCGGUUUUGACAAGCACAGGGGUGCUUUCUAUUGGAAUGCUGCUGGUAACAAACGGAAAUAUAAGCUGGUUAAAUGGAAGCUCAUGUGUAGGCCUAAAAACCUUGGGGGGUUAGGCAUUAUUAACACGUUGGUUAUGAAUAAAUUUCUAUUAAUUAAAUGGUGGUGGAAAUUAUGACUAGUGGGGCCGGCUCCUUAUGGUAUUCCAUUCUUAAGGCUAAAUAUUUUCCGCACUCUAGCCCGAUGUUUGCUGUGGCCUGGCGUGGAUCUCAAUUCUCGAAGGACCUUAUUAAAGUCAUACCUAUGUUCCUGGAACAUGUUAAGUUUAAUGUGGGUAACGAUACCUUGGUUUGUUUCUGGUGUGAUUGGUGGUGUGGAGAUACUCCUUUGGCUGUUAGUUUCCCGGUUCUUUUUUCGUAUUUUCCUAACCCGGAUAUCUCCAUCGCGGAGGUGGCGACUAAUAAUUGGGACUUGGCCUUUCGCCGCUCCUUGUCUCCUGAAGAGUUGAAAGACUGGCAAAGACUCUCUGCCUUUUUCCCCUUGCUCUCGGAGAUGCCGAAUUUGGUUGUCUGGCCUCAUUCUGCCUCUGGCCGGUUUUUAGUUAAAUCAUUGUACUCUAGGCUCAUCGGAGGUGUCCCUUCGAAUAGGUUUUCAUGCAUUUGGAGGUCCAAAGUUCCUCCUAAGAUUAAAAUCUUCCUCUGGCAAGCCUUCAGAGGUCGUCUCCCUGCAGCUGACCAAAUUCGUAAGUGUAAUGGACCGGGCUCGGAGUUCUGUCCUCUUUGCGGUGCCUUGGAAGGCAGGAACCAUAUCUUUUUUCAUUAUGUGUUGGCUAAGCUGGUGUGGAGUUGUGUCCGGUCAUGGCUUCAGGUUACCUGGAAUCCCUCCUCCUUCCAUGAUCUAAGAAACCUCGCCAACUUGCUGGUUGGGGUCACUAAGAGGGUUUUCUGGGUAGGCUUGGGUGCGAUUUGCUGGUCUUUAUGGACGAUUAGGAACAUAUUUACUAUCGAACAUGUCUUCCCAUCUAAGGCUGCUGACGUUCUUUUCAAAUCCUGUAUAUUCUUGCAGCAGUGGAGAUCAUUGACUAAGGAGGACGAUCGGGGAGCGCUGGACCUGCUCAUCUCUAAAAUUCGGGCCUCGACGUCCUCUAUCUCCGGGCAGGAUCCUGAUGUCUGACCUCGCUUGCCGCUGUUUCGUCGUUCUUGGUGGUGGCUGUUUCUUCCCUCUUUCCGGCCUGCGUGUCGUGUUUGGCAGGUUGCCAUGUACCCCUAAUACUUUCGUGUGCCUGGUCCCUAGUUGCUGUUUUUGUGGAUUAUUGGUGGUUUCGCCCCUGUUGGUGUUUGGGCCUGUGACUCUGCCUUGUGGCUUUAUUUAUAAAGUCGGGCUUAGGCCUUUUCUCUAAAAAAGAAGCAUCAACGGAAUGGAGGUGGGCGGGGAGAAUCUUAUUCCAUCUGCAAGAAGGCACCGUCGUCCCUCCUUCCUGAGCAGGACACAAACUCGAGCAAAACUCUUAAAAAAACUAAAAAUGGAGCCCUCUUGUCGGCAAAGAUUGGGAUCCACCGCACUUCCACGGUCCUAAGGCCAAAGAAGACGAGGUAGGCCGGCGGCUGCACGAUGGGAGGCAGCAGAAACCCUAGCGUGUGUGCACUUGCGUGAAAACCCUAGCGUGUGUGCACUUGCAUGAAAACCCUAGCGUAGUAAAGUAGGCACAACAUGUUUAACAUAACAUUAAAUUGGCAUGAAAACAACCUUUUAUACCAAGGAAUACUAAUAAUUGUGUGUGUGCAAUGCAUGAUAAUACUAGGAUGUCAAUAACGUCAGAACGUCCAUUUUUGGAUCAUGGCAAAUCGAAUGUUUUUUAGACAAUUGUAGUGACAUGAGGAUGAUAAGUUUAGUUGGCAAGAAAUCCAUGCACAAUUUAUUUUUCCCCCAGAAAAUUGACGUGCAUGUCAACUAAACUUGUCAUCCUCGCGUCACUAAAAUUUCCAUAAAAAAUGUUUUGACUUGCUAUGAUCAUAUCUUGAACGUUCGGGGUUUAUCAUUUUCAUAAUAUUAAGCAAAAUAUUAGUUUAUUACAUACUAAUAUUAGCCAAUAUAUAAAUUGAAUGUUAAUAUUAGCCAGGAUAUAAUUACUUGGUUAAUGUUGAUGUUGAUAUUAGGCAUAAUAUUAAUUGGUGGAGGGUGCUAAAUGUGUUUAUAGUGUUAUAGAAACGUUUACCGCUAAACAUUGUAGCGACUUAGAUCAUUGGAUAGAUAUGGUCGAACGGGAUAAGAUUCGUUGGAUAUCCCUAACUCGCUCUUUUUAUAUUGGUGUAUAUGAAUAUAGAUAUUUAAAAUAGUAGAAUGAAAACACAAAGAGGUAUGCCUAACCUUAUAACCCAAAAGAAUAGAAAAAUAAUAGACGUGUCCCUGACUUAUACAAAGUGAAACUUCAUACAAACAAUGAAAAAUUACAACAAGUCUAAAUCAAUUCCCGUGUGCAUCCAGUCUCACCAUCACCAAGAUAGGACCACUUGGGAUGACAAGACCUUUGUAGCACCAUCUCCAACAUCAUGGACUUCGAGUCAAAGCCUAUCCUGCCUCCCUUUUGACGCUCAAGUUGGGAGGGAGAUAGAUAGCUGUCCUUCGGCCAACAAAAUUUAGUGGUAGAUGGUGAAGGCGACAUUUAACUGCCACAGUAGGCAUCAUGGCUCCUCCAUAGACACCAUUGAUGAUGAGUUCCUUCCCUAUCUACGAUACAACUUUCCAUUCCUCCCCUCCUCUUCAUGCAUCAAUCCACCUCCACGAUGGUGCCAGGAGCCGAAGACGAGGGAAGGGCCUCCUCUAGAUCGGGGGAACCAACAAACUUGUUGAAGGACUUGUUGAACUUGCUUCCUGUCACCACAACCAAUAAGACAAAUGCCGCUAGUCACCGCUCGCAACUCAACUACAUGCUCUGGACCGGCAUCACGCCAAACACCUCUAAGGCAAUACUAACCCUAGACCUACUAUUAAGGGGAACCUAUGCUCCUCAUCCAGAUCAACACUGAGUAGCAGCGACGGGGAGGGGGAAAGAGGAUAGAGCUGGGGAAACACCGACGAUUCUCAAUAGGUUGGUAGGAGGAGCAAGGGAAAGGGUAGGAUGCUAGCUGCUCUCUGUUUCUUCUAGACCCAUCAUGCAAUGUGCUCUCAUGGUUUUAAUCAAGAACAAGAAUGAGUUUUUCUAAAAAAAAGGGUAAUGUUAUGCAACGAAUGUUCAUAGGGGAUGGCAUUUGCGAAUGCUCGUUAAGGCAAUUUAUGUCGCAGGAGCAUAACAAUUCCAGAAGGAAAUAUGCCCUAGAGGCAAUAAUAAAGUUGUUAUUUAUAUUUCCUUAUAUCAUGAUAAAUGUUUAUUAUUCAUGAUAGAAUUGUAUUAACCGGAAACUUAGUACAUGUGUGAAUAUAUAGACAAAACAGAGUGUCCCUAGUAUGCCUCUACUUGACUAGCUCAUUAUUCAAAGAUGGUUAAGUUUCCUGACCAUAGACAUGUGUUGUCAUUUGAUGAACGGGAUCACAUCAUUAGGAUAAUGAUGUGAUGGACACAACCCAUCCGUUAGCUUAGCAAAAAUGAUCGUUAAGUUUUAUUGCUAUUGCUUUCUUCAUGACUUAUACAUGUUCCUCUGACUAUAAGAUUAUUCAACUCCCGAAUACCGGAGGAACACUUAGUGUGCUAUCAAACUCACAACGUAACUGGGUGAUUAUAAAGAUGCUCUACAGGUGUCUCCGAUGGUGUUUGUUGAGUUGGCAUAGAUCGAGAUUAGGAUUUGUCACUCCGUGUAUUGGAGAGGUAUCUCUGGGCCCUCUCGGUAAUGAUCACCACUAUAAGCCUUGGAACCAAUGUGACUAAUGAGUUAGUUGCGGGAUGAUGCAUUACAGAACGAGUAAAGAGACUUGCCAGUAACGAGAUCGAACUAGGUAUGAUGAUACCGACGAUCGAAUCUCGGGCAAGUAACAUACCGAUGACAAAGGGAACAACUUAUGUUGUUAUGCGGUUUGACCGAUAAAGAUCUUCAUAGAAUAUGUAAGAUCCAAUAUGAGCAUCCAGGUUCUGCUAUUGGUUAUUGACCGGAGAUGUGUCUCGGUCAUGUCUACAUAGUUCUCGAACCCGUAGGGUCCGCACGCUUAACGUUCGAUGACGAUUUGUAUUAUGAGUUAUGUGAUUUGAUGACCGAAGUUUGUUCGGAGUCCCGGAUGAGAGCAUGGACAUGGCGAGGAGUCUCGAAAUGGUCGAUACGUAAAGAUCGAUAUAUUGGAAGGCUAUAUUCGGACAUCGGAAAGGUUCUGAGUGGUUCGGGUAUUUUUCGGAGUACCAAGAGUUAUAGGAAUUCGCCGGGGGAAGUAUUGGGCCUUCAUGGGCCUUAGUGGAAAGCAGAGAAGGGCCACAAGGGGAGGCCGUGCGCCCCCCAUGGGCUGGUCCGAAUUGGACUAGGGAGGGGGCGGCGCCCCCCUCUUUCCUUCUCCCUCUCCUUCUCCCUCUCCUUCUCCUUCCUUCUUCUCCUACUUGGACUUGGAAAGGGGAAAACCUACUCCUACUAGGAGUAGGAAUCCCCCCCUUGGGCGCGCCCCUUGUGUCCGACCCUCCUCCUCCUCCUCCCCUCCUUUAUAUACGGGGGAGGGGGGCACCCCAUAGACACACAAGUUGAUUAGCAGUGUGCGGUGCCCCCCUCCACAUUUUUACACCUCGGUCAUAUUGUCGUAGUGCUUAGGCGAAACCCUGCAUCGGUAACUUCAUCAUUAACGUCAACACGCCGUCGUGCUGCCAAAAAUCACCCUCGACCUCAGCUAGAUCAAGAGUACGAGGGACGUCACUGAGCUGAACGUGUGCAGAUCAUGGAGGUGCUGUGCGUUCGGUACUUGGUCGGUUGGAUCGCGAAGACGUUCGACUACAUCAACCGCGUUACUAAAAUGCUUCCGCUUUCAGUCUACAAGGGUACGUAGACACACUCUCCCCUCUCGUUGCUAUGCAUCUCCCAGAUAUAUCUUGCGUGAUCAUAGGAAUUUUUUUGAAAUACUGCGUUCCCCAACAUUGGCAUCCGAGCCAGGUUUAUGCGUAGAUGUUAUAUGCAUGAGUAGAACACACAGAGUUGUGGGCGAUAAUAGUCAUACUGCUUACAGCAUGUCAUACUUUGAUUCGGCGGUAUUGUUGGAUGAAGCGGCCUAGACCGACAUUACAUGACCGCGUGAGACUGGUUCUACCGAUGUGCUUCGCACACAGGUGGCUAGUGGGUGUCUGUUUCUCCAGCUUUAGUUGAAUAGAGUGUGACUAUGCCCGGUCCUUGUUGAAGGUUAAAACAGCACACUUGACGAAACAUCAUUGUGGUUUUGAUGCAUAGGUAAGAACGGUUCUUGCUAAGCCCGUAGCAGCCACGUAAAGCUUGCAACAACAAAGUAGAGGACAUCUAACUUGUUUUUACAGGGCAUGAUGUGAUGUGAUAUGGUCAAGACGUGAUUAUAUAAAUUGUUGUAUGAGAUGAUCAUGUUUUGUAACAAAGUUAUCGGCAACUGACAGGAGCCAUAUGGUUAUCGCUUUAUUGUAUGAAGUGAAAUCACCAUGUAAUUGCUUUACUUUAUCACUAAGUGGUAGCGAUAGUCAUAGAAGCAAUAGUUGGCGAGACGACAAUGAUGCUACGAUGGAGAUCAAGGUGUCAAGCCGGUGAUGAUGGUGAUCAUAACGGUGCUUUGGAGAUGGAGAUCAAAGGCAAAAGAUGAUGAUGGCCAUAUCAUAUCACUUAUAUUGAUCACAUGUGAUGUUUAUCCUUUAUGCAUCUUAUUUUGCUUAGUAUGAUGGUAGCAUUAUGAGAUGAUCUCUCACUAAAUUUCAAGGUACAAAGUGUUCUCCCUGAGUAUGCACUGUUGCUAUAGUUCGUCGUGCUGAGACACCAUGUGAUGAUCGGGUGUGAUAAGCUCUACGUUCACAUACAACGGGUGCAAGCCAGUUUUGCACACGCAGAAUACUCAGGUUAAACUUGACGAGCCUAGCAUAUGCAGAUAUGGCCUCGGAACACUGAGACCAAAAGGUCGAGCGUGAAUCAUAUAGUAGAUAUGAUCAACAUAGUGAUGUUCACCAUUGAAAACUACUGCAUCUCACGUGAUGAUCGGACAUGGUUUAGUUGAUAUGGAUCACAUGAUCAUUUAGAUGACUAGAGGGAUGUCUAUCUAAGUGGGAGUUCUUAAGUAACAUGAUUAAUUGAACUUUAAUUUAUCAUGAACUUAGUCCUGAUAGUAUUUGCAUAUCUAUGUUGUAGAUCAAUAGCUUGCGACCUAGCCCCCUUGUUUUAUGUUUGAUAUGUUCCUAGAGAAAAAUAAGUUGAAAUGUGAUAGUAGCAAUGAUGCGGACUGGGUCCAUGAUUUGAGGAUUAUCCUCAUUGUUGCAUAGAAGAAUUAUGUCCUUGAUGCACCGCUAGGUAACGGACCUAUUACAGGAGCAGAUACAUACGUUAUGAAUGUUUGGCAAGCUUAGUAUGAUGACUACUUGAUAGUUUAGUGCGCCAUACUUUAUGGCUUAGAACCAGGACUUCAAAAUGUUUUGAACGACAAGGAGCAUAUAAGAUGUUCCAAGAGCUGAAAUUGGUAUUUCAGACUCAUGCCCAAGUCAAGAGGUAUGCAACCUCUGACAAGUAUUUUUCCUACAAGAUGGAGGAGAAUAGCUCAAUCAGUGAGCAUGUGCUCAGAAUGUCUGAGUACUACAAUCGCUUGAAUCAAGUGGGAGUUUAUCUUCUAGAUAAGAUAGUGACUGACAGAGUUCUCUAGUCACUAUCAUCAAGUUACUGGAACUUCGUGAUGAACUAUAAUAUGCAAGGAUAAUGAAAACGAUUCUCAAGCUCUUCGUGAUGCUGAAAUCAAUGAAGGUAGAAAUCAAGAAAAGCAUCAAACGUUGAUGGUUGACAAGACCACUAGUUUCAAGUAAAAGGGCAAGGGAAAGAAAGGGAACUUCAAGAAGAAUGGCAAGCAAGUUGUCACUCCCAUGAAGAAGCCCAAAACUAGACCCAAGCCUCAAACUGAGUGCUUCUACUGCAAAGGACAUUGAUGUAGGGUGGAACCCUAAACGGCCGAUCUUUCACGAAAGGAGCGGAUCCCAACUAAGAACACAAAGAACACGAGGGGAAAACGAGGGAAAACACAAGAGGAUCUCUCAAGCUAACAAGAUAUAGUCACGCAUAUGCUAGAUCCGAGUACACAUAGAGAUCACAUGGUCCAAAACCAACAAGGGACGAUACAUAGGGUAACCAGUUCUUAUCCAUGAGGAGGUCUUGAUGGGGCCACCCAAGAGGGGGUCUUGAAUCCAACAGGGAUCUUCUCCGUAGAGGGGCCGCGGUCUCUCUCAAGGAGUAGAUCCGUAUGGAUGAGCAAAGCUCUAUCUCACAUAUGAGCUAAACCAAUGCUAACCCUAACUAGGAGGAGGAGGAGGUCUAUUUAUAGUCUUAAUGCAAAUGGUGGCAAAGUGAAGGGGUACAUGGGCCUCAACCCGUAACUGGACAUAGCCGGGGGGCGGACGUCCGGUGGGCGUCGGACGUCCGGAAGCUCGGGAUGGUCUGGACGUCCGUAGAUCUUCCGACUUCCAUAGAUUUCGUUAUGUGAAGGAUUUGCCGGACGUCCGGUGUUCCUCGGAUUUCUGCUAUUUACGUUCUGUUGCAGCAGCAGCGGACGUCCGGAGGUGGUCGGUCGUCCGGAGCCUGGGAGGAUCCUGGGAGGUGUCAGACGUCCGGUCCUGGACGGUCGUUCGGCCGCUGUAGCAUUCGAUGGCCUGGUUUCCUGGGGCUGUCGUGGCCUUCAGGGGGCGGACGUCCGGUUUGGGCCGGUCGUCCGGUGGCUGUAGCUUCCGGGCAACUCUUCUUCUUGUCCUUCGCACUUGGUGUCCUCGCCAUCUUGUCCGUUGGAUGUAGUCGUUCCGUGGCCUUCCUCCAAGUACCUGAGCACACAUAGUGUUUCCGUUUGAGGUAGUAGCCAUGUCUCAUGUGACAAAGGUGGUAGUUCGGAAAGGAGUGAGUUCACCUUAUCUUCGAUAUCCUUCGCUCAGGCUCUUGUCAUAGGUCCAAGUGGUGUCGUGGGAGGUUUAGGUGCAUCCAUGGGGAUGAUCGUGGGAUGCUCCGCAUCAUCUUCCCUGUUGGGGAACGUAAUAAUUUCAAAAAAUUUCCUACGCACACGCAAGAUCAUGGUGCUAGGCUAACGGAAUGGGUCAUGUCAAUUAGAUCAUUCAUCUAAUGAUGUGAUCCCAUUAAUCAAAUAACAACUCUUUGUCUAUGGUUAGGAAACAUAACCAUCUUUGAUUAAUGAGCUAGUCAAGUAGAGGCAUACUAGUGACACUCGGUUUGUCUAUGUAUUCACACAUGUAUUAUGUUUCCGGUUAAUACAAUUCUAGCAUGAAUAAUAAACAUUUAUCAUGAUAUAAGGAAAUAAAUAAUAACUUUAUUGUUGCCUCUAGGGCAUAUUUCCUUCAGUCUCCCACUUGCACUAGAGUCAAUAAUCUAGUUCACAUCACCAUGUGAUUUAACACCAAUAGUUCACAUCACCAUGUGAUUAACACCCAUAGUUCACAUCGUUAUGUGAUCAACACCCAAAGGGUUUACUAGAGUCAAUAAUCUAGUUCACAUCGCUAUGUGAUUAACACCCAAAGAGCACUAAGGUAUGAUCAUGUUUUGCUUGUGAGAGAAGUUUAGUCAACGGGUCUGUCACAUUCAGAGCCGUAUGUAUUUUGCAAAUAUUCUAUGCCUACAAUGCUCUGCAUGGAGCUACUCUAGCUAAUUGCUCCCACUUUCAAUAUGUAUCCAGAUUAAGACUUAGAGUCAUCUAGAUCAGUGCCAAAACUUGUAUCGACGUAACCCUUUACGAUGAACCUUUUUUUUCACCUCCAUAAUCGAGAAACAUAUCCUUAUUCCACUAAGGAUAAUUUUGACCAAUGUCCAGUGAUCUACUCCUAGAUCACUAUUGUACUCUCUUGCCAAACCAUGGCAGAGUAUACAAUAGGUCUGGUCCAUAGCAUGGCAUACUUUAAUAGAACCUAUGACUGAUGCAUAGGGAAUGACUUUCAUUCCUUUUCUAUUUUCUGUUGUGGUCGGGAUUUGAGUCUUACUCAAUUUCAUACCUUUGCAACACAGGCAAGAACUCUUUCUUUGACUGUUCUAUUUUGAACUACUUCAAAAUCUUGUCAAGGUAUGUACUCAUUGAAAAUCUUAUCAAGCGUCUUGAUCUAUCUUAAUAGAUUUUGAUGCUCAAUAUGUAAGUAGCUUUUACUGAGGUCUUUCUUUGAAAAACUCCUUCAAAACACUCCUUUAUGCUUUGCAGAAUAAUUCUAUAUUAUUUCCGAUCAACAAUAUGUCAUUCACAUAUACUUAUCAGAAAUGCUGUAGUGCUCCCACUCACUUUCUUGUAAAUACAGGCUUCACUACAAGUCUGUAUAAAACUAUAUGCUUUGAUCAACUUAUCAAAGCGUAUAUUCCAGCUCCGAGAUGGUUGCACCAGUCCAUAGAUGGAUCGCUGGAGCUUGCACAUGUUGUUAACACCUUUAGGAUUGACAAAACCUUCUGGUUGCAUCAUAUACAACUCUUCUUUAAGAAAUCCAUUAAGGAUUGCAGUUUUGUUAUCCAUUUGCCAGAUUUCAUAAAAUGUGGCAAUUGCUAACAUGAUUCGGACAGACUUUAAGCAUCGAUACGAGUGAGAAAAUCUCAUCGUAGUCAACACUUUGAACUUUGUCAAAAACCUUUUUCGACAAGUCUAGCUUUGUAGAUAGUAACACUACUAUCAGCGUCCGUCUUCCUCUUGAAGAUCCAUUUAUUUUCUAUGGCUUGCCGAUCAUCGGGCAAAUCCAUCAAAGUCUAUACUUUGUUCUCAUACAUGGAUCAUUUCUCAGAUUUCAUGGCCUCAAACCAUUUCGUGGAAUCUGGGCUCAUCAUCGCUUCCUCAUAGUUCGCAAGUUCGUCAUGGUCUAGUAACAUGACUUCCAGAACAGGAUUACCGUACCACUUUGGUGCGGAUCUCACUCUGGUUUACCUACGAGAUUCGGUAGUAACUUGAUCUGAAGUUACAUGAUCAUCAUCAUUAGCUUCCUCACUAAUUGGUGUAGUAGUCACAAGAACAGAUUUCUGUGAUGAACUACUUUCCAAUAAGGGAGAAGGUACAAUUACCUUAUCAAGUUUUCUACUUUCCUCCCACUCACUUCUUUCGAGAGAAACUCCUUCUCUAGAAAGGAUCCAUUCUUAGCAACGAAUGUCUUGCCUUCGGAUCUGUGAUAGAAGGUGUACCCAACAGUCUCCUUUGGGUAUCCUAUGAAGACAUAUUUCUCCGAUUUGGGUUUGAGCUUAUCAGGAUGAAACUUUUUCACAUAAGCAUCACAACCCCAAACUUUAAGAAAUGACUACUUUGGUUUCUUGCUAAACCACAGUUCAUAUAGUGUCAUCUCAACGGAUUUAGAUGGUGCCCUAUUAAACGUGAAUGCAGCUGUCUCUAAUGCAUAACCCCAAAACGAUAGUGGUAAACCGAUAAGAGACAUCAUAGAUCGCACCAUAUCCAAUAAAGUGCGUUUACGAUGUUCGGACACACCAUAACAUUGUGGUGUUCCAGGUGGCGUGAGCUGUGAAACUAUUCCAUAUUGUUUUAAUUGAAGACCAAACUCAUAACUCAAAUAUUUGUCUCCGCGAUCAAAUCACAGAAACUUUAUUUUCUUGUUAUGAUGAUUCUCCACUUCACUCUGAAAUUCUUUGAACCUUUCAACUAUUUCAGACUUAUGUUUCAUCAAGUAGAUAUACCCAUAUCUUCUCAAAUCAUCUUGUGAAGGUCAGAAAAUAACGAUACUUGCCACGAGCCUUCAUACUCAUUGGUCUGCAUACAUCAGUAUGUAUUAUUUCCAAUAAGUCAGUAGCUCGUUCCAUUGUUCCGAAGAACGGAGUUUUAGUCAUCUUGCCCAAAAGGCACGGUUCGCAAACAUCAAAUGAUUCAUAACCAAGUGAUUCCGAAAAUCCAUCUUUAUGGAGUUUCUUCAUGCGCUUUACACCGAUAUGACCCAAACGGCAGUGCCAUAAAUAAGUUGCACUAUCAUUAUUAACUUUGCAUCUUUUUGGCCUCAAUAUUAUGAAUAUGUGUAUCACUACGAUCGAGAUCCAACAAACUAUUUUCAUUGGGUGUAUGACCAUUGAAGGUUUUAUUCAUGUAAACAGAACAACAAUUAUUCUCUGAUUUUAAAUGAAUAACCGUAUUGCAAUAAACACGAUCAAAUCAUAUUCAUGCUCAACGCAAACGCCAAAUAACAUUUAUUUAGGUUUAACACUAAUCCCGAAAGUAUAGGGAGUGUGCGAUGAUGAUCAUAUCAAUCUUGGAACUACUUCCAACACUCAUCGUCACUUUCCCUUCAACUAGUCUCUGUUUAUUCUGUAACUCCCGUUUCGAGUUACUACUCUUACCAACUGAACCAGUACCAAAUACCGAGGGGUUGCUAUAAACACUAGUAAAAUACACAUCAAUAACAUGUAUAUCAAAUAUACCUUUGUUCACUUUGCCAUCCUUCUUAUCCGCCAAAUACUUGGGGUAGUUUUGCUUUCAGUGACCAGUCCCUUUGCAGUAGAAGCACUUAGUCUCAGGCUUAGGUCCAGACUUGGGCUUCUUCACUUGAGCAGCAACUUGCUUGCCGUUCUUCUUGAAGUUCCCUUCUAUCCCUUUGCCCUUUUCUUGAAACUAGUGGUCUUGUUAACCAUCAACACUUGAUGUUCUUUCUUGAUUUCUACCUUCAUCGAUUUCAUCAUCAUGAAAAAACUCGGGAAUCAUUUUCAUCAUCCCUUGCAUACUAUAGUUCAUCAUGAAGUUCUACUAACUUGGUGAUGGUGACUAGAGAAUUCUGUCAAUCACUAUCUUAUCUGGAAGAUUAACUCCCACUUGAUUCAAGCGAUUGUAGUACCCAGACAAUCUGAGCACAUGCUCACUAGUUGAGCGAUUCUCCUCCAUCUUUUAGCUAUAGAACUUGUUGGAGACUUCAUAUCUCUCAACUCGGGUAUUUGCUUGAAAUAUUAACUUCAACUCCUGGAACAUCUCAUAUGGUCCAUGAUGUUCAAAACAUCUUUGAAGUCCCGAUUCUAAGCCAUAAAGCAUGGUGCACAAAACUAUCAAGCAGUCAUCAUAUUGAGCUAGCCAAACGUUCAUAACGUCUGCAUCUGCUCCUGCAAUAGGUCUGUCACCUAGCGGUGCAUUAAGGACAUAAUUCUUCUGUGCAGCAAUGAGGAUAAACCUCAGAUCGCGGAUCCAAUCCGCAUCAUUGCUACUAACAUUUUUCAACACAGUUUUUCUCUAGGAACAUAUCAAAAUAAACAUAUGAAAGCAACAACGCAAGCUAUUGAUCUAGAACAUAAUUUGCAAAAUACUAUCAGGACUAAGUUCAUGAUAAAUUUAAGUUCAAUUAAUCAUAUUACUUAAGAACUCCCACUUAGACAGACAUCUCUCUAGUCAUCUAAGUGAUCACGUGAUCCAAAUCAACUAAACCAUAACCGAUCAUCACGUGAGAUGGAGUAGUUUUCAAUGGUGAACAUCAUAUGUUGAUCAUAUCUACUAUAUGAUUCACGCUCGACCUUUCGGUCUCCGUGUUCCGAGGCCAUAUCUGCAUAUGCUAGGCUCGUCAAGUUUAACCCGAGUAUUCCACGUGUGCAAAACUGGCUUGCACCCGUUGUAGAUGGACGUAGAGCUUAUCACACCCGAUCAUCACGUGGUGUCUGGGCACGACGAACUUUGGCAACGGUGCAUACUCAGGGAGAACACUUCUUGAUAAUUUUUAGUGAGAGAUCAUCUUAAAAUGCUACCGGCAAUCAAAGCAAGAAUAAGAUGUAUAACAAAUAAACAUCAUAUGCAAUCAAAAUAUGUGACAUGAUAUGGCCAUGAUGAUCUUGCGCCUUUGAUCUCCAUCUCCAAAGUACUGUCAUGAUCUCUAUUGUUACUGGCACGACACCAUGAUCUUCAUCAUCUUGAUCUAUAUCAAUGUGUCGUCACAUGGUCGUCUCGCCAACUAUUGCUCUUGCAACUAUUGCUAUCGCAUAGCGAUAAAGUAAAACAAUUAUUUGGCACUUGCAUCUUAUGCAACAAGGAGACAACCAUAGGGCUUCUGCCAGUUGCCGAUAACUUCAACAAAACAUGAUAAUCUCAUACAACAACUUAUAUCUCAUCACGUUUUGACCAUAUCACAUCACAACAUGCCCUGCAAAAACAAGUUAGACGUCCUCUACUUUGUUGUUGCAAAUUUUACGUGGCUGCUACGGGCUGAGCAAGAACCGUUCUUUACCUACGCAUCAAAACCACAACGAUAGUUUGUCAAGUUGGUGCUGUUUUAACCUUCGCAAGGACUGGGCGUAGCCACACUCGGUUCAACUAAAGUUGGAGAAACAGACACCCGCUAGUCACCUGUGUGCAAAGCACGACGGUAAAACCAGUCUCGCGUAAGCGUACGCGUAAUGUCGGUCCGGGCCGCUUCAUCCAACAAUACCGCCGAACCAAAGUAUGACAUGCUGGUAAGUAGUAUGACUUGUAUCGCCCACAACUCACUUGUGUUCUACUCGUGCAUAUAACAUCAACUCAUAAAACCUAGGCUCGGAUGCCACUGCUGGGGAACGUAAUAAUUUCAAAAAAUUUCCUACGCACACGCAAGAUCAUGGUGAUGGCAUAGCAACGAGAGGGGAGAGUGUAUGUCCACGUACCCUCGUAGACUGUAAGCGGAAGCGUUAUGACAACGCGGUUGAUGUAGUCGUACGUCUUCACGAUCCGACCGAUCCAAGCUUCGAACGUACGGGGCCUCCGAGUUCAGCACACGUUUAGCUCGAUGACGAUCUCCGGCCUCCGAUCCAGCCGAGCUCCGGAGAUGAGUUCCGUCAGCACGACGGCGUGGUGACGAUGUUGAUGUUCUACCGGCGCAGGGCUUCGCCUAAGCUUCGCGACGAUAUGACCGAGGUGGAAUAUGGUGGAAGGGGGCACCGCACACGGCUAAGGAACGAUCCGUAGAUCAACUUGUGUGUCCAUGGGGUGCCCCCUGCCCCCGUAUAUAAAGGAGUGGAGGAGGGAAGGGCCGGCCCUCUCUAUGGCGCGCCCUAGGGGUGUCCUACUCCCGCCGGGAGUAGGAUUCCCCCUUUCCUAGUCCAACUAGGAAUCCUUCCAAGUAUUAGGAGUAGGAGACAAGGAAGGGGAAGAGAGAAGGGAAGGAAGGAGGGGGUGAAGCCCCUCCCCCUAGCCCAGUUCGGACUAGGCCAUGGGGGGGCGCGCGGCCUGCCCUAGGCAGCCCCUCUCUCUUUCCCGUAUGGCCCAAUAAGGCCCAAUACUUCUCCCCCGUAUUCCCGUAACUCCCCGGUACUCCAAAAAUACCUGAACCACUCGGAACCUUUCCGAACUCCGAAUAUAGUCGUCCAAUAUAUCGAUCUUUACGUCUCAACCAUUUCGAGACUCCUCGUCAUGUCCCCGAUCUCAUCCGGGACUCCGAACUCCUUCGGUACAUCAAAACUCAUAAACUCAUAAUAAAACUGUCAUCAUAACGUUAAGCGUGCGGACCCUACGGGUUCGAGAACUAUGUAGACAUGACCUAGAACCAUUCUUGGUCAAUAACCAAUAGCGGGACCUGGAUGCCCAUAUUGGUUCCUACAUAUUCUACGAAGAUCUUUAUCGGUCAAACCGCAUAACAACAUACAUUGUUCCCUUUGUCAUCGGUAUGUUACUUGCCCGAGAUUUGAUCGUCGGUAUCCAAUACCUAGUUCAAUCUCGUUACCGGCAAGUCUCUUUACUCGUUCUGUAAUACAUCAUCUUAUAACUAAAUCAUUAGUUACAAUACUUGCAAGGCUUAGGUGAUGAGUAUUACCGAGAGGGCCCAGAGAUACCUCUCCGACAAUCGGAGUGACAAAACCUAAUCUCGAAUUAUGCCAACCCAACAUGUACCUUCGGAAACACCUGUAGAGCACCUUUAUAAUCACCCAGUUACGUUGUGAUGUUUGGUAGCACACAAAGUGUUCUUCCGGUAAACGGUAGUUGCACAAUCUCAUAGUUGCAGGAACUUUGUAUAAGUCAUGAAGAAAGCAAUAGCAAUAUACUAAACGAUCAAGUGCUAGGCUAACGGAACGGGUCAUGUCAAUCAGAUCAUUCAUCUAAUGAUGUGAUCCCAUUAAUCAAAUAACAACUCUUUGUCUAUGGUUAGGAAACAUAACCAUCUUUGAUUAAUGAGCUAGUCAAGUAGAGGCAUACUAGUGACACUCUGUUUGUCUAUGUAUUCACACAUGUAUUAUGUUUCCGGUUAAUACAAUUCUAGCAUGAAUAAUAAACAUUUAUCAUGAUAUAAGGAAAUAAAUAAUAACUUUAUUAUUGCCUCUAGGGCAUAUUUCCUUCAUCCCCUCCCUUGGGAAAGAUCCGACCUCGGAUCGAAAUCUUCAUCACCAUGGUAGGGCGAAAGAUCCUUGACGUUGAAGACGUCGCUCAUGUUGUACUUGUCGCGUGGGAGGUCGAUCUUGUAAGCGUUGUUGUUGUAGCAUGCUAGUACCUUGAAGGGUCCAUCGGCUCAUGGUAGAAGUUUGGACUUGCGUUCGUUGGGGAAGAGGUCCUUGCGAAGGUGUAGCCACACAAGAUCUCCAAUGUUGAAUAUCAUGGGUUGCUUGUUGAUGUUGAUCGUGGUCGCGAGUCAUUGUACUUGGCACUCGAUGGUGUGCCUUGUAUCUUCAUGCAUCUUCUUGAGGUAGUUCACUCGGGCACUCGCGUCCAUGUUGAUGCGCUCUUGUAGUGGUAGAGGAAGAAUGCCCAAUGGCGACAACGGGUUGAAACCAUAGACGACCUCGAAAUGGGACUUGCCGGCAGUCGAAUGUCUUGCACAGUUGUAGGCGUACUCGGCGAUAGGUAGGCACUCCUCCCACUCCUUGAUGUUAUUCUUUAUCAACACGCGUAGGAGAGUGGAGAGUGUACGGUUCGUCACCUUUGUUUGGCCGUCGGUUUGUGGAUGGUAUGCCGUGGAGAAUAGUAGCUUGAUUCCGAGCUUGGCGCAUAAAGUCUUCCAAAAGUAACUCAAGAACUUGACGUCGCGGUCCGAGACAAUCGUCUUUGGCACUCCAUGAAGUCGCAAGAUUUCCCUUCAAAAGAUAUUGGCAACAUAUGAAGCAUCGUCUAUCUUGUUGCAAGGAAUGAAAUGAGCCAUUUUGGAGAAUCGGUCCAUAGCAACAAAAACGGAAUCCUUGCCAUUUCUAGUUCUAGGCAAACCAAGCACAAAAUCCAUGCUAAUAUGUUCCCAUGGUUGGUACGGAAUUGGAAGAGGCAUAUAUAGACCAUGAGAUUGAGCUUUAGACUUAGCUUUGCGACAUGUAGAGCAUCGGUUGGUGAAGCGGUUUACGUUGCGGAACAUCUUGGACCAAAAAUAGUUCUUGGAGAGCGUAGCAAGUGUCUUGUCGCGUCCAAAGUGUCCCAUUAGUCCUCCUCCAUGAGAUUCUUGCAAAAUAAACAAACGAAGAGAAGAAUCUGGGAUGCAAAGUUUGUUAGCUCUCAUAAGAUAACCAUCUUUGAUGUCAUAGUGUUCCCAAGAUGGAUGCGUCAAGUGAUAUGUCUCCAACGUAUCUACUUUUCCAAACACGUUUGCCCUUUUUUUGGACUCUAACUUGCGUGAUUUGAAUGGAACUAACCUAGACUGACACCGUUUUCAGCAGAAUUUCCAUGGUGUUAUUUUUGUGCAGAAAUAGAAGUUCUCGGAAUGACCUGAAACUUCA